rnacentral:lncRNA from 1 species
AGCAAGUUUAAAAAAAACAAGGUAAAGAUAUAUCAUGAUUGAAAGAGUUUGAAUAAUAAGCUGGCUAUCCUUCACAAUGUAGUUGUGAAUUAGCAUGAACAAAAUUUCAAAGCUGAAUGAACAUUGAAAAUGAACAUAACAAUUAUAUCUGAACUGACUGGUAAUGAAGGUGAUCAGCCUUUCAUACCUGAUGAAUACAUGCAAUAUGUACAGAGUACAAUUCAUAAGCAUAUCUGUCUGAAACCACUCUUAAAAGAGUUUAAGUAAAAAGAACUUGAAAAACUUGCCUGAACCGUUGAUUACCGUAACGCAAUAUAAUACGCUUCUCCUGAAGACCUAAUAUUAAUAAUAUAGAUCUCCAAUAUUAGAAUAAUAUCAUCACCGUUAUAAAAUAACUUAAACACAUAAUCCUAUCAGUCUAUACAGCAUAUAAAACCUAUAAUAGAUCUUUCGGUUAGUCAUAACAUAUAGUUAAGUAUUAGACAUUAGUUUUAAGUCUUAAUAUUAUUAUUAUACUUUGAUAUUCUUUUAAUCACAUCAUAACUUAUACUUAUAAGUUAUUCAUUUUUAUAUGUUAUCCUAGUAAAUUAGAUAACAUCUUAGUAAACCGAAAUACCAUUUCAGUAAGACGGAUUUUAUUUCAGUAUCCCGAAAUCACUAUUCUUUUUCACGAAAAAUACCAAAUCAACUUAUUAUUUUUUUAUCCUUUGGUCAAACAUAUAUACAUGUAUUUCAUACAUAAAAAAUAUUUUUCCGUAAUUUUUCAAUUUCUUUUACUAUUUUUCAAAAAUCAUAAUUAGUGCGUGACUUAAGAAAAUUAGCUACCUCGUGCUUAACUCCAGAGAUGCCCAUCUUUUGACAUAACCUUAUAUAUGUUAACGUGAUGCUCCAUUUUAAAUUUCGUGGCAAUCGGAGUUGUAGAACUCCGGUUAUAGCGAUUUCCGUCGGAAAAUCACAAAAAUUGAAAUGGUCAUAACUUGGUCGUUUUAAGCCGGAAUUAGCUCAUUUUUGGACACGAGCUACAUAUUACCAUAUAUUUUCAUUUCCCAAAAGCCUGUAAUUUUUCUCAUUAACUAAAUGUCCAAAACAGCCCUCGGAAAAUUUUGGCCAGAAACUUUUUGCACUUUGGCAGUUUUGGAGUCCUUCACCAAAACUUAAAUAAAACGAAAUCUGUAACUCCGAUUAAUGAUCCGUCAAUUUUGUUGGAUUCGUAUCUUUCCGAACUACAGUUUUCAUAUAUCACAAUCCAUAUUUGGAUAUGUUUAGCUCCCGGAAUUUAGCCCGGAAGUGACUGUUCCAAAACUGUCCUUUUCACAGUUUUCUUAACUUUGUGUAGUUUGGGAGAAAUCCCAUAACUCCCUCCUCCGAUGUCGGAUUUAGUCCGUUUUGGAGUCUAUGGAAAGCUUAUUGAGUGUACUAUAACAUAUCACAAGUCCAGAAUUUUUAGAGCACUCUAACAAAUCCGAAAUUUCUGUUUAGGGCAGAGCAGUCCACUAACUCAUUUAAAACAAAAAAAACUGUUUUGGUUAUUCUUCUUUGUUCAAGCCUAUCAACCCUAAAAAUGGCAAGAUCUAACCAUAAAAUAUCAUNNNNNNNNNNNNNNNNNNNNNNNNNNNNNNNNNNNNNNNNNNNNNNNNNNNNNNNNNNNNNNNNNNNNNNNNNNNNNNNNNNNNNNNNNNNNNNNNNNNNNNNNNNNNNNNNNNNNNNNNNNNNNNNNNNNNNNNNNNNNNNNNNNNNNNNNNNNNNNNNNNNNNNNNNNNNNNNNNNNNNNNNNNNNNNNNNNNNNNNNNNNNNNNNNNNNNNNNNNNNNNNNNNNNNNNNNNNNNNNNNNNNNNNNNNNNNNNNNNNNNNNNNNNNNNNNNNNNNNNNNNNNNNNNNNNNNNNNNNNNNNNNNNNNNNNNNNNNNNNNNNNNNNNNNNNNNNNNNNNNNNNNNNNNNNNNNNNNNNNNNACAUACCCUUAAUCCUGAAUAAUUCACUAAAAGAAAUUUUAAAUCCUCAAAAUUCCUUUCUGAAAACAUCAAACACAUACACUUAUUCUCUGUCUAGGUCUAUUAUUUGACCUUAAACCAAUCAUUUAAGAUUUUAAUAAUUUUCUAAUUUCUCGGGUUGUCACAGUAAAUAUUACUCAUAACUAUAACAUUAUAUUAUAUCCACACCAUAAUAUUAAAAAAUAUAUUUCGAGAGAAAUUAAUCUUUAUUUAUAAAAGUUGGGGUCUUACAGCCUCCCCUUCUUAUGAAAUUUCUUCCUCGAAAUUAGGGUGCGUACCUGGUAUGUCAAAGAGGUGAGGAUACCUUGAUUUCGUUUCAGAUUCUAACUCCUAGGUCAUUUCCUCAACAUCAUGGUUUCUUCUUCACGAAUAAAAUAGGAGCACCCCAAGGAGACGUACUAGGACGAAUGAAACCGAUGUCUAACAAUUCCUGCAGUUGGGUCUUUAACUCCUGAAGUUCAAUAGGAGCCAUUCGAUAUGGGGCUUUGGAAAUAGGUUUUGUACUGGGUUCAAGGUCGAUACAAAAUUCAAUUUCACGCUCUGUGGGUAGGCCAGGAAGUUCUUCAGGGAAUACAUCAGGAAAUUUAUUAACAAUAGAAAUAUCAUUCAAAACUGACGUAUUUUUGUUUAAAUCCGUGACAUGAGCUAAGAAAGCUUGACAUCCGCUUUUCAAUAAUUGAAUAGCUUUAUGGCUUGAGAUGAUAGUGAUUGAUUUUAAUGGUUUGGUUGUUUGAAUUCGCAUAAUAGGUUGGUUAAGAAUAUUAAAGCUAACAACCUUACAAAAACAAUCAAUUUUUGCACGAUGAGUAGUUAACCAAUCAAUCCCUAAAAUCACAUCAAAUGCAAGUAUUUUCAAAGAAAUAAGAUCAACAGGUAACGUGCGGUUGCCGAUUUGAAUUAAACAAGACUUAUAAACAGUGGAUGUAAUGAAGGUUUCUCCCAACGGAGUUUCAACAAAUAAGUCAAAGUCUAAUUUCUCCGGAGUCAAAUUUAAACGUUGAGCGCAAGUAAGAGAAAUAAAAGAAUGGGUAGAACUGGUAUCAAAUAAGGUAUAGACUUCGCUAAAGUUUAUGAUAAGCUUACUCGUGAUGACCUCGUUCGGGUUCCUUACUUUUUAGGAGGUCACAACAAACGCUCUCCCUUGAACUACCGGUUUUGACUUUCCUGGGACGGCCUUUGGUGCCUCCAUCCCAGCUGAACUUGCCUUCCCUGAACAUCAAAAUCGAGCUAGGUGACCUUCUCUUCCACAAUUGUAACAGGUUUUAGACUGCUGUGUACAGUUUGGACUGAUAUGUCCCUCCCAUCCGCAUUUGAAGCAUAUGAUAGGUGGUCAUUCUCCUUCCUUAACAACGGGUGAUGAUGCUAAUGUCUUUCCAUCAUUUUUGAAUCUCCUCUUCUUGAAAUGUCCAUUCUUAUUGUUUUGGCCAUGAUUAUCACCGAAGUGGUUACCAUUUCUGGCAUGUUGAUUCCCUCCACGCUUAUUGUCACCGCUUCGAUAACUGUUAUCACUGGUAUUAUCAUUUUGCCGGCUGCUCUCUUUUGGUUGGGUUGACUCAUUAUCACACUCCAAUAACUGAGCCCUAUUAACAACAUCUGAAUACAAACACAUUUUAUGAGAGAUAAGAUAUUGACGUAUCUUGGGUUUCAAACCUCUUAGAAACAUUCGCGUCAUUCUCUCCUCAUUAUCAACCAAAUGGGAAGCAAACCAGGAAAACUCGGCAAAUUUAGCUUCGUACUGCGACAUGGUCAUGUUGUUUUGCUCCAGUUUAAUGAACUCUACCUCUUUCAUGUGACGAAUACUUUUGGGAAAGUACUUGUCAUUGAACAAUUCUUUGAACUUCUCCCAAGACAUCUUAAGUGCGGCAGGUUGAGUACGCUUUACAGAUUCCCACCAGUAAUUUGCCUUUGCCCGCAGCAUGAAGGUGGCAAAGAGAAACUUUUGCUCCUCGGAGCAUCCCAAGACAACAAAUAUCCUGUUGAUUUGCUUUACCCACGUCUCUGCCUUAAGUGGUUUUGGCUCUCCAAAAAACUCUGAUGGUCCCAGCUCCUUGAACUGUUUAGCAGUGACCGUUCGAGAGUUGCCAGUGUUUCCACCUGUAUUUUGGACAGGAGCCUCUCUUGCCUGAUGUUGCAUAAAUUUCAUAAAGCCUCUGAACAUUCCAUCGUUCAUCAUUUGGUAAGUGUUGUCGUUUGCAUGAGGAUUGUCGCCUUCCUAAUGCACAUUAUCCUGAUUAUUGAUCUGUGGAGACUCAACGGUCUCCUGUGCUCCAUUGCUAUUUUCAACAUUCUCGGAUGUCAUUUUCAAAUACUGCCACAAAAUAAUGGUUAAUUAACAUAUCACAUAUUAUCCUUGUACUCUGACCGACCAAUUAAAUACCAAAUAAACUUAGGUAGGUCAUAGUAGCGAAGGAAUUCCCUAUCUCUCCCCCCCUAGUUCUUGUCUCACAUCUCAGCCAGGGAUCAUAUCCCUAAGCUUUGAUACCAACAGUGACGCCCCCAAAACAGGUAUACAUCACCCAUCUUGAGUCGCCAAAUACAUGGUACAAAAUUUAAAUACAACUUAAUUAUACAACAGUCGUGUAAAAUACGACAAAACAUAAUCUAAGAGUUUUAAUAAGAAUAUUGUCAUCUAGACAAUAUCCACACUCAAUGGAGUCCUCAUUACAUUUAUUGUCACACUAUUUAACAGAAUAGUGAGGACUACUAAUGCUAUCAUCUGGACCGUCACUCCAUUCCCCGACUAGUCUCGACUACGUUCUCAUUUCCUGAAAAGAACAGUGAAAGAAAGGGUGAGCUCAACUAGCCCAGUAAGAAAUAUUAUGACUAAGAUAAUGCAGAAUAAAUUAUCAUUAGCCUUCAACAAUGUUAAACUGAUAAAAUACAAUAGACAUCAAGUUUAACUAUAGCGGAACAAGAAAUUCAUUAGAAGAGUCAAGUAGAGAAUAAAAUCUACUAUCUUCAAUGAUUUAAAAGGUUUUUCAUCACUUUUAUCGUUGAGACUCAGCUUAUUAAAUAAACCACGUCAUCCCUACACUACGGCUAAGGAUAUUCACUAGUAUCACGACCACAAAUUAUCCAUGCACUACGGGCCAAGGAUAUUCGUGUUUUCAUCAAUGGUCAUGAUCAUGCCAACAACUGUCCAUCAAUGCACUACGGGCCAAUGAGAACUUUUACCACAUCAUUUGUAACAUUACGGUCAUGACUAUACCGAAUAAUCCCUGGUCAUAAUCAUACCAAGUCCAUCUAUUCACUACAGGCCACAGAUGACUUUCAACAUAAUAUAAACAUGAGGAUGAUGACAAUGACAUAAUAAUUCAAUAAAAUAAGUUGAAGAAUUAAAUUUUAAAGAUUUAUAAGUUAAUUUAUCCUGAACUCAGAAACGUCCAAAUUGUCAACAUGAUACUUCUUUGUGGAGUAAAAUUCAAGAAUGCUCAGAAGAAUAUUUCCAUGAAAAGAUACUAGAUAAAGCGCAAAUAUACAGGAUAUUCUACUAAUUUCAUGGAGUAUAGAAGCCAAAACUUUAACCAACUGAGUAUAAUAGAAUAUAUGAACCUGCAAAUGGAUUUUCGCCCGCCAUGCUGUAAUCCACGUAGACAGAUCAUUUCCACAAUUUAAUAAGGAAUCAAUACAAAAGAUCAUUCACCAUGCAUGUGGUAAUCCACAUAGACAGGUUAUUCCAACAGAAUAAUAAAGAAUGGAAUAAAAGAAGAAUUCAACAUGCAUGCGAUACACCGCACAGACAGGUUAUUCCCAACAAAAUAAUAAAGAAUGGAACCAGGUCAUCCGAAAUCCGCACAGACAAGAUAUUCCAACAAAAUAAUAAAGAAUGGAAUAACAACAGAAUUCACCAGGCACACGAUAGACUGCACAUGCAGGUUAUUCCAACAGAAUAAUAAAUAAUGGAACCAGGUCAUGCGUAAUACGCAUAGACAAGUUAUUCCAACACAAAAAUAAGGAAUGGAAUAACAAUAACUCUCUUCAUGAAAAUGAAAGAAAUAAUACCCCUUACCUUAGAAUAAAGCUGGAUACUGGAAUAGAGAUGUAGCAGACUUCUCUUCUUCUUUCUCUCUAUAAUUUCUCUCUAUAAUAAUUGCUCUAUAGCUUUAGUGAAUUAGUGAGAAAUGAAGGAAGAAUGGGCUUCUAUUUAUAGAAAAAAUAUAGUUUCAAUAAUUACACGUUUUGGGGUCAAAAAAUUACAGUACAAUACCUCCAACUUUUCUUUCAUUUUUAAUUUAGUCCUGCAAGUAUUAUCAAACUUGAACCACCUCCCCUAAUAGUAAAUAAUGUGAUUCAAUAGUUCAAUCAUGUGAUUCAAUAGUUAUAAUCAUGUGAAUUAAUAGCAAUUAAUUCCUCAUUUAUCUGAUUAAUUACCCGAUAACUUCCAGACAUCAAUUAUUAUCUAAAUAAAUGUCGAUUUUCACUAAUACUAAUAAUUCCAACACAAUGGAACUAUCGAUUUCAUCUUUAAUCAACACGAAUUUAUUCAUCAUUAAUAUUAUAACUCACAAUAUUUAACAACCAGGUCGUUCCUAGGAAAGAGGGGGCUUUCCGAUAAGGAUUUCUCCUUAUUGGCGUACAAUUAGAUGACCAAACCUAUCUUUGACAGAACUUCUAGACAUUGUAAAUAUUGUAAUUUAAUAAUAUGAAUAACUUCGUCGUCUCAAUUAUUGAUUUAAUAAUAUAUCAUAUUAUACAGAUGAUACUGUGACAAUAAUCAAAUCAAUAAUAUGAGAGAUAUGAUGCAACAAUUACUGUAGCAAGAAUUGAGUAUAAUUGAGUGACUUCUCACGUAAGCAUCAAUAACCAAUACCGUGUACUACUAUGCAACCACGUGUAUUACUGUACUUUUACUACCGGGUAGUUCAACAGUUUUAACGGUAACACUUCCGUCAUUAUUUUUAUAAAAAGAUAAUUGUGUUGUUUUCUUACUACGACAGUACUUCCGUUGUGGAGUCUACCAAUGAUUGUGCCAUCGUACGAAUAUUCCCUGAUAAAACAAAUAUUGCCCGACCAAUCGAAUAUUAUAUAACCACUUGCUUACUUUGCAAAAUUUGAAAAUAUUACCCAUAAGUAUAACAUUAUAUUAUAUCCACACCAUAAUGUUAAAAAAUAUAUUUCGAGAGAAAUUAAUCUUUAUUCAUAAAAGUUGGGGUCUUACAUUAGAUGUUAGUUUUUGUGUGUUAGACAUGUUGUUUAUAAUCCAUAUAGUUGAUUUGGGUUGGUAGAUGAUAGAUCAAUAACAUCUAAGUGCACGAAUUUAAAAAAAUUCAAAAUCUGGAAAAAAAGUUUAAAAUAUGGUCUGACAACGAAUGUCAGUGGCCACCAAUCUUUCUCUGUUAAGUGUUUUUGUUGUUUAAAGCUUUGAUCUUGUAUUCUGAUAUGUGCUCUUUGAUCUGGAUCAAGAAUCAGGCUUAGAUCCGGUUUGGAUUGCAAGUUAUUCGUGGUCAAACCACGUUGACCGGCAUUGACCGGAAGAAAUCUAGGCAGCCCAGAAAAUGCCCAGAUAGGUCUGACAAGAAGUUCAUGGCCUUUGAUCUUUCUGUUUGUUGUUUGUUUGUUGUUUUUGUUGUAUCUAGAUUGUAGUCUGCUGAAUGAACUUCAUGUUUAUGCCUUAAAAUCUCCUAAAAAUUAAACUGGAUGAAAGUAGUAACCGGUCAAAGUAGCUAAGUAGUUCACGUUUAUGGUUUUCUGGAAAACCCAGAAAAUCUAUGAACAUGGGUUCUGACAAUAUUUGACCGGAUCUCAUAUGCUUGAACUAUUCUGCAUUUCUGGGUAACCCAGAAAUGAAGAACAACAUCUGACAGCUACUUUAAUGGCUCAGAUCUCUUUGGUUAUAUGUUGUAUGAACCUGUUUGUUAUUGGAUCUUGUAGUCUUGCAUUAAUACUACACGAUCUGAUCAACAACAUGCCCAGAAACACAAUACACACUUGUUUAAUAUUGGUCAAACAUGGUCACUCAGUCACUGCACAUGAAUUUCUGGGUUUAUGAUAUUUUUAUUAAAUAAUUAUAGAAAAUUAGUUUUUAAUUAUUAAAAAUACAUAAUAAAUUAUUAAAAAUUAUUUUAAAGUCCAAAAAUUAGUUUUUAAUUAUUAAAAAUACAUAAUAAAUUAUUAAAAAUUAUUUUAAAGUCCAAAAAUUAGUUUUUAAUUAUUUUAAAUAUAUUUCAUAAAUAUUUAAUAUUUUUGAAAUAUUAAUUGUAUUUAAUUUAUUUAAUAAUUAUAUUAAAUAAAUUAUUUAAAAAUAAUUUUAAUACUUGAAAAAUUAUUUAAAAUUAUAAUAUGGUAUAAGAAAAUAUUUUAAGUUAUUUUUAAUGAGUUUUAAUAUUUUCUGAUGAAAAUCAUUAAUAAAUUAAUAUUAAUGAUAAUUUAGUUAUUUAAUAAAUGAAUUAAAUAAAUAAAUUAAAAAUGAUUUUAUUAUAUUAAAAAUUAUUUUAAUUAAUAAUAGGGUAUUUAAAAAUAUUUGAAGUUAUAAAAUAUAACUUUCAAUAUUUAAAGGAAAAUUUCAUUAAUUAAUUAUUAUUAAUGAUAUUAAAGUUAUUUAAUAAUUAUAUUAGAUAAUUUAGUUUAAAAAUAAUUUUAUUAUUAUAAAAAUCAUUUUAAAUGAAAAUAAAGUGUUUAAAGAUAUUUUAAGUUAUAAAAUAUAACUUUUAAUAUUUAAAGGAUAAUUUCAUUAAUAAUUUAAUAUUAAUGAUGUUAAUUUAAUGUUAAUAAUAUUAAAUUUAUUUAAUAAUUAUAUUAAAUAAAUAGUUUAAAAAUAGUUUUAUUAAUCAUUUAAAAGGGAUAUAAAUGAAUUAAAAAUAUUUUAAUUUAUACUUAAUGACUUUUAAUAUUUUAAGGAAUAGUACAUUAAUAUUUUAAUAUUAAUGGUAAUUUAAAAAUGAUUUUAAAUGUUUUAAAAAUCAUUUAUGGGUAAUAUAAAUAUUUUAAAAAUAUUUUGGCAAUGAUUUCAUUAAUAGUUUAAUAUUAAUUAAAUAUUAAUGAUAAUAGAAUUGUUUAAUAUUUAAAUCAUUUAAUAAUGAUUCCGGUGUUUAAAAAUUCACGAUAAAUUAUAAUAAAUGUUUUAAAAUUAUUAUAAGUCAUUUAAAAAUAAUAUGACUGAUACUUACAGAUAUUGAACUUCACGAUAGAGUCUUAGACUCGAUAAUUACCCGAUAAAGCCGUCGGUAGACCGACAUAUUUCGGAAAUUGAUUUGGACUUAGAUAAUUUGAUUAGAUAUGUGUUUGUUUGUAAUCCAAUGACUGUUGAACAUGGCUGACAAUGUGAUUAGGUUAUAUGCUGACUGCAAAAUGAAGUACUAUGUGUUAUAGUAUAUUGUUCUAAUCGAACCAAUGAUCUUAUUAAUGAUAGGUCGUGACAUAAAAGAUAAAACUAAGUUCGAUAUUGUAAGCAGCAGACCAGACAAGUAUCCUACAUUUGCAUUUACUUUAUGCAAUGGAUAUAAGUAAGAAAGUUUUAGAAUUAUAUUAUUAUUGUGCCAGAAUAAUAACCCUAUUGUUAUCGAUUAUGUGACACCCCCGAAAUAGGUAUACAUCACCCAUCUUGAGUCGCAAGAAAAUACACUACUGACAACUUCAUUUAUACAACUGUCGUGCAAAAUACGACGCCAUGUAUACUGUGAGAUUAAAUAAAAAUAUAUAUACCAACUCUGACUCAUGUCACAAUUGCACCUUACAUAAAGGUACAGUCAAUAACUUUUUUAGAAGUUAAAAUCUUUGGGAAGUGCUCAGGGAAACCUUCGUACAUGGGAGGCCAUGCGUCUAGGUUAUGAUAGAUAUCAUAUGUACACAAAAUUAUUCUUGGUUGACCCAAUAGACCCCAAAGAAAAACGAGAAUAUUAAUAUCAUGUUCCUUCCAAUGGUGAGUCUUCUCUUGAUAUAUAACUAUUUGCAAUUGAGAAUUAUAUUUUAACCAAACUCCAAGAUUAUAUAGGUAGUGCUCGUAGAUAUACUCAACAAGUGGAUGUGCACAACCCUGUCUUAUGAUAACACGAGGUUGUAUGUCAUUAGACAUCUUGUAUGAUAGUAGCAAAACACCCGUCCAAAGUUGGGUUCACCUCACCCUAUUCGGUUCACCAAAAUUAAAUAUCAAAUGGCGUAUACAAUGCGACACACUUAUCUAAAGUUCUCAAUAAAAUUAUUUUCAUACUAUUUAGGGAUAACCUCAACAGCUAUAGACCACCGUUCUAUUCUCCUGUUAUCCCCGCUUGACCCAGCUACACUCUUAUUAUCUGAAAGGAAUUGUGAAGCAAUAAGGGUGAACACAACUAGCCCAGUAAUGAAUAUCAUGACUAAAGAUAAUUUACAUCAUCAAUAGCAUUCAUCAGUUAUAAAUCAGAGAUUUAGAACAUAUGGUAGAUGAUAAAACUUUUCAACCAUAGUUGCAGCGAAACGAGCAAUCCAUUAGAAGAGUCAAAUAGACCAUAAAGUCUAUUAUCUUCUCCACGUUAAAAGUCCACUAACAAUGUUUUAUCCCUGUGACAUCAAUGAACAGUUCCUUUCCACAAUCAUAUGAAUAAUUCAUAAUCAUAAUUGUGAUUCUAAAUCCCUCUUCGCACCCAGGACGAAGAUAAUUUUCAUCACAUAUCUUUACCUGAAACAUCAAAUAUCAUGGUUAUACCAAAUCACAGUUCCUGUUUAUAAUCAUACUUAAUAAAUUCAUCUUUGCACUACGGGCCAAAAAUAUUCAGUAUCAUUUCAUCUUUGCACUACAGGCCGAAGACAUACAACUGUAUUUUAGAAGAGUCAAGUAGAGCAUGAUAUCUAUUAUCUUCUACGAAUUGAAAAGUUAAUUCUUUAUAGCUGAGACUCAGCUUAAUAAAUAAUCCACAUCAUCGAAUCAACCCUGCACUACGGCAAAGGAUAUUCGUUAAUAUCACAUCUAUGAAUUAUCUAUGCACUACGGGCCAAUGAGGACUUUUACCACAUCAUUUGUAACAUUACGGUCAUGAUUAUACCGAAUAAUCCCUGGUCAUAAUAAUACCAAGUCCAUUUAUGCACUACAGGCCACAGAUAACUUUCGUCAUAAUAUAAGCAUGAGGAUAAUGACAAUGAUAUUAAGAAUCAAUCAAAUGAGAUAAAGGAUAAAUAUUAAACAUUUAUAAUAUAAUUUAUCCAGCGUUCAAUAAUAACCAAAUGUUAUCCAUCACUUAAUAAUCUCAUAAUCUAAUAUCAUUAAUAUUAUAACAAUACUUUAAUCAUUUNNNNNNNNNNNNNNNNNNNNNNNNNNNNNNNNNNNNNNNNNNNNNNNNNNNNNNNNNNNNNNNNNNNNNNNNNNNNNNNNNNNNNNNNNNNNNNNNNNNNNNNNNNNNNNNNNNNNNNNNNNNNNNNNNNNNNNNNNNNNNNNNNNNNNNNNNNNNNNNNNNNNNNNNNNNNNNNNNNNNNNNNNNNNNNNNNNNNNNNNNNNNNNNNNNNNNNNNNNNNNNNNNNNNNNNNNNNNNNNNNNNNNNNNNNNNNNNNNNNNNNNNNNNNNNNNNNNNNNNNNNNNNNNNNNNNNNNNNNNNNNNNNNNNNNNNNNNNNNNNNNNNNNNNNNNNNNNNNNNNNNNNNNNNNNNNNNNNNNGCCCGCCAUGCGGUAAUCCACGUAGACAGAUCAUUUCCACAAGUUAAUAAGGAAUGAAUACAAAGGAUCAUUCACCAUGCAUGCAGUAAUCCACAUAGACAGGUUAUUCCAACAGAGUAAUAAAGAAUGGAACCAGGUCAUGCGUAAUCCUCACAGACAUGAUAUUCCAACAGAAUAAUAAAAAAUGGAACCAGGUCAUGCGUAAUCCGCACAGACAGGAUGUUCGAACAGAAUAUUAAAGAAUGGAACUAGGUCAUGCGUAAUCCGCACAUACAGGAUGUUCCAACAGAAUAAUAAAGAAUGGAUUAACAACGGAAUUCACCAGGUAUGCGAUAGAUCGCACAGACAGGUUAUUCCAACAGAAUAAUAAAGAAUGGAAUAACAGAAGAAUUUCACCAUAUAUGCGAUACUUCGCAUAGACAGGUUAUUCCAUCAUAAUAAUAAAGAAUGAAAUCACAACCCUUACGAGUAUUGAAAGAAAAUAACUCUCUUCAUGAAUACGAAAGAAUAAUACCCCUUACGAGUAUUGAAAGAAAAUAAUUCUCUUCAUGAAUACGAAAGAAAUAAUACCCCUUACUAUAAUAAUAAUAUCCCUUACUAUAAUAAUAAUAUCCCUUACCUUAAAAAGAAGAGUAUUCUGACGUGUAGGACGGGGAUAUACUUGAAGAAAACAUGCACUAUUUUCUAUGCUCAAAGCUUUCUUAAACUCUAAAGAAAUACGCUCAAGAUUAUAGAAGAAGAUUUCUAUGAAUUUCUGGUGUGAUUUUUAAUUCUAGCUAAGCAUCCUAUUUAUAGGAGAAUGGAAAGGAUACUAUGUAAUAAAAUAAUAUAUAUAUAUAUAUAUAUAUAUAUAUAUUUAUAUUUGUAUAUUUUAUUUAAAAUCUAAUAAAACAAAUAACUUUAUAAAAAUAUUCUGUUUUAUAUAAAAAGAUUUUACUAUGCAAAUACUAUGCAGGCACUAUGCAUAAUAAAAUAUAAUAUAUUCUAUUUAUAAUCUAAUAAAAUAAAUAACUUUAUAAAAGUAUUAUAUUUUAUAUAAAAAGAUUUUACUAUGCCAAUACUAUGCAGGCACUAUGCAAACACUACGCAUAAAAAAAAUAUUAUAUUAUAUUUAUAAUCUAAUAAAACAAAUGACUUUAUAUAAGUAUUUUGUUUUAUAUAAAAAGAUUUUACUAUGCCAACACUAUGCAGGCAUUAUGCAAACACUAUGCAUAAUAAAAUAUAUUAUAUUCUAUUUAUAAUCAAAUAAAACAAAACUUUAUAAAAAGUUUUCUGUUUUAUUACAUUUAUAAUAAUAAUAAAACAAAAUUCAUCAUCAUUAUUAUAAUUCACACUAUUAAUCGACCAGGUCGUUCCCAGGAAAGAGGGGGCUUUCCAAUAAGGAUUUCUCCCUAUUGGCGCUCAAUUAGGUGACCAAACAUCUCCUUGACAGAACUUUUAGACAUCGUUAAUAUUGCAAAUAAUAAUAUUAAUAACUUUGUUAUCUCAAUUAUUGAUUUAAUAAUAUAUAAAAUAUCGACAAUAACUGAAUCAAAUAACGUGAGAUACUAUGUAGCAAUUACUGUAACAAUAAUUGAGCAAAACUGAGUGACUUCUCACGUAAGCAUUAAUAAUCAAUACCUGGUGCUACUAUGCAACCACGCAUAUUACUGAACUUUUACCACCGAUUAUUUUAUGACAACUUGCUUACUUUGUAAAAUUUUCAAAUAUCACCCUUAACUUUAACCCUUUAUCAAUUUAGCCAUUUACUAAAUAAAAUAAUAAUUAUAAGAAAAUUGAGUAUUUUCAUUUCAUAAAUUUCGGGAUCUCACAAUCUCCCCUCCUUUUGAAAUUUCGCCCUCAAAAUUUAUGUACGUACCUGGUAUUUCGAAGAGAUGGGAAUACCUUGCUUUCUUUUCGGAUUGUACCUUCCCAGUUAUUUCCUCUGUAUCAUAAUUUUCCCAUUUCUCAUCUCCUGAGUUUCAGAUAUCAUUCUAGAAUAUACUUCAAAAUAAAGGUUAAUUGACAUAUCAUAAUUUGUCAACUUAUCAAGUAAACAAUUUCAGCUUAGGUAAGUUACACACUAACGAAGUAUAUUACUCGUCUCCCCCCUCCUAGUUCUAGACUCAUAUCUCCGCCAGCGACCAUAUCCCUAAGCUCUGAUACCAAAUGUGACGCCCCCAAAAUAGGUAUACAUCACUCAUCUUGAGUCGCCAGAAAAUACACUAUUGACAACAUCAUUUAUACAACUGUCAUGCAAAAUACGACGACAUGUAUACUAUGAGUUUAAAUACAAAUAUAUAUACCAACUCUGACUCAUGUCACAAUUGCACCUUAUAUAAAGGUACAGUCAAUAACUGUUUUAGAAAUUAAAAUAUUUGGGAAGUGCUCAAGAAAACCAUCGUACAUGGGAGGCCAUACGUCUAGGUUAUGAUAGAUAUCAUAUGUGUAGAAAAUUAUCCUUGGUUGACCCAAUAGACCCCAAAGAAAAACGAGAAGAUUACUAUCAUGUUCCUUCCAAUGGUGAGUCUUCUCUUGAUAUAUAACUAUCUCCACUGUCUGUAAUUGAGAACUAUAUUUUAACCAAACUCCAAGAUUAUAUAGGUAAUGCUCGUAGAUAUACUAAGAAAGUGGAUGUUCUUAACCCUGUCUUAUGAUAACACGAGGUUGUAUAUCAUUAGACAUCUGGUAUGAUAGUAGCGAAACACCCUUCCAAAGUUGGGUUGACCUCACCCUAUUCGGUUCACCAAAAUUAAAUAUCAAAUGGUGUAUACAAUACGACACACUUAUCUAAAGUUCUCAAUAAAAUUAUUUCCAUACUAUUUAGGGAGAGCCUCAACAGCUAUAGACCAUCGUUCUAUUCUCCUGUUAUUCCGCUCGACCCAGCUUCACUCUUAUUACUUGAAAGGAAUUGUGAAGCAAAAACGGUGAGCACAACUAGCCCAGUAAAGAAUAUCAUGACUAAAAAUAAUUUACCUCAUCAAUAGCCUUCAUCAGUAAUAAAUCAGAGAUUUAGAACAUAUAGUAGAUGAUAAAACUUUUCAACCAUAGUUGCAGUGGAACGAGCAAUCCAUUAGAAGAGUCAAAUAGACCAUAAAGUCUAUUAUCUUCUCCACGUUAAAAUUCCACCAACAAUAUUUUAUCCCUGUAACAUCAAUCAACAGUUCAUUUCCACAAUCAUAUAAAUAACUCAUAUUCAUAAUUGUGAUUCUAAAUCCCUCUUCGCACCCAGGACGAAGAUAAUUUUCAUCACCUAUCUUUACCUGAAACAUCAAAGAUCAUGGUUAUUCCAAAUCACAGUUCCUGUUUAUAAUCAUACUUAUAAAUUCAUCUUUGCACUAUGGGCUAAAGAUAUUCAUUAUCAUUUCAUCUUUGCACUACAGGCCGAAGACAUACAACUGUAUUUUAGAAGAGUCAAGUAGAGCAUGAUAUCUACUAUCUUCUAAGAAUUUAAAAGUUUAUUAUAAAUAUUUUAUCGUUGAGACUCAACUUAAUAAAUAAUCCACAUCAUCGAAUCACCCCUGCACUAAAGCCAAGGAUAUUCGUUAAUAUCACAUCCAUGAAUUAUCCAUGUACAACGGGUCAAUGAGGACAUUUACCACAUCAUUUGUAACAUUACGGUCAUGAUUAUACCGAAUAAUUCCUGGUCAUAAUCAUACCAAGUCCAUCUAUGCACUACAGGCCACAGAUGACUUUCAUCAUAAUAUAAGCAUGAGGAUAAUGACAAUAAUAUAAAGAAUCAAUCAAAUGAGAUAAAGGAUAAAUAUUAAACAUUUAUAAUACUAUUUAUCCAGCGUUCAAUAAUAACCAAAUGUUAUCCAUCACUUAAUUAGCUCAUAAUCUAAUAUCAUUAAUAUUAUAACAAUAUUUUAAUCAUUUCUUAAACUUAUAAACAAUUUAUUUUAAUUGUUUACACUUUACUAAUUAAUGCAUUUAAUCAUCCUAAAAUGCCAAACUCAUAAGAUUUCAUCAUCAAUAACCAAAACUUUCGUCACAAAUCUGCAUAUACCUUAUAUAGGAUUUCCAAGCCAUAAAAUUCUAUUUUCUAAUUUUGUUACUUCACAUAACAUAUUUAUUUUAUUUACUCAUAACUAGUUCAUUUUAAUGAAAAAUAUCAAAUCAGUCCCAAAAAUAUUUCUUUUUCUGGGAUUUAGCAUAAUAUAGUCUCAUAUUAAACAUAUAUUUUUCUCGGAAUUUUAAAAAUUCAUUUACUAUUUUUCAUAUGGCCAAAACUGCCGAAUAUUAAGACAUUUUUUAUAAACUGUACUUUUGUCCAAAAAUUCUGAAAUUUACACGGUAUACUUCGGUUAUAUAUAUGUACUCCCAAUAAAAAUUUCACCAAUUUUGGAGUUAACCACAAGGAGUUAUAAGGGUUUACUUUUAAAAUAGUCUUUUCCCAUAAAAUUCAUAACUCUUAAUCUAUACAUCAAAAAAUCGCCAUUUUUAGACACAAUAUAGAAAACUCAUCAAAUUAUCAUUUCAAAUUUUUCCAGAAUUUUUGAGGGUCAGAAAAAUUACGAAACUGCAAAUGAAUUUUCGCCCGCCAUGCGGUAAUCCACGUAGACAGAUCAUUUCCACAAGUUAAUAAGGAAUGAAUACAAAGGAUCAUUCACCAUGCAUGCAGUAAUCCACAUAGACAAGUUAUUCCAACAGAGUAAUAAAGAAUGGAACCAGGUCAUGCGCAAUCCGCACAAAUAGGAUAUUCCAAUAGAAUAAUAAAAAAUGGAACCAGGUCAUGCGUAAUUCGCACAGACAGGAUGUUCCAACAGAAUAAUAAAGAAUGGAACCAGGUCAUGCAUAAUCCGCACAGACAGGAUGUUCCAACAGAAUAAUAAAGAAUGGAAAAACAACGGAAUUCACCAGGCAUGCGAUAGACCGCACAGACAGGUUAUUCCAAUAGAAUAAUAAAGAAUGGAAUAACAUAAGAAUUUCACCAUAUAUACGGUACUUCGUAUAGACAGGUUAUUCCAACAUAAUAAUAAAAAAUGGAAUCACAACCCUUAUGAGUAUUGAAAGAAAGUAACUCUCUUCAUAAAUGUGAAAGAAUAAUACCCCUUACGAGUAUUGAAAGAAAAUAAUUCUCUUCAUGAAUACGAAAGAAAUAAUACCCCUUACUAUAAUAAUAAUAUCCUUUACCUUAAAAAGAAGAGUAUUCCGACGGGUAGGGCGGGGAUAUACUUGAAGAAAACUUGCACUAUUUUCUACACUCAAAGUUUUUUUAAACUCUAAAGAAAAUGCUCAAGAUUAUAGAAGAAGAAUUCUGUAAAUUUUUGGUGUGAUUUUCAAUUCUAACUAAGCAUCCUAUUUAUAGGCGAAUGGAAAGGAUACUAUGCAAUAAAAUAUAAUAUAUAUAUAUAUAUUUAUAUUUUAUUUAAAAUCUAAUAAAACAAAUAACUUUAUAAAAGUAUUUUAUUUUAUAUAAAAAGAUUUUACUAUGCAAACACUAUGCAUGCACUAUGCAAACACUAUACAUAAUGAAAUAUAAUAUAUUCUAUUUAUAAUCUAAUAAAACAAAUAACUUUAUAAAAGUAUUCUGUUUUAUAUAAAAAGAUUUUACUAUGCCAACACUAUGCAGGCACUAUGCAAACACUAUGCAUAAUAAAAUAUAUUAUAUUCUAUUUAUAAUCUAAUAAAACAAAUAACUUUAUAAAAGUAUUCUAUUUUAUAUAAAAAGAUUUUACUAUGCCAACAUUAUGCAGGCACUAUGCAAAUACUAUGCAUAAUAAAAUAUAUUAUAUUCUAUUUAUAAUCAAAUAAAACAAAACUUUAUAAAAAGUAUUCUGUUUUAUAUAUAAAAAAAAUUCUAUUUUAUUACAUUUAUAAUAAUAAUAAAACAAAAUUCAUCAUCAUUAUUAUAAUUCACACUAUUAAUUGACCAGGUCGUUCCCAGGAAAGAGGGGGCUUUCUAAUAAGGAUUCUCCCUAUUGGCGUACAAUUAGGUGACCAAACCUCUCCUUGACAGAACUUCUAGACCUCGUUAAUAUUGCAAAUAAUAAUAUUAAUAACUUUGUUAUUUCAAUUAUUGAUUUAAUAAUAUAUAAAAUAUCGACAAUAAUUGAAUCAAAUAACGUGAGAUACUAUGCAGCAAUUACUGUAGCAAUAAUUGAACAAAACUGAGUGACUUCUCACGUAAGCAUCAAUAAUCAAUACCGUGUGCUACUAUGAAACCACACGUAUUACUGUACUUUUACCACCGAUUAUUUUAUGACAACUUGCUUACUUUGUAAAAUUUUCAAAUAUCACCCUUAACUUUAACCCUUUAUCAAUUUAGCCAUUUACUAAAUAAAAUAAUAAUUAUAAGAAAAUUGAGUAUUUUCAUUUUAUAAAUUUUGGGGUCUCACAGAGUAUGUAUCCGAUCAUUAUUUAUUAGUACAGUAUUAUUGUAUAAUAUUAUGUUCGUUAAUUUCUAAAUAUGGUUAUACAAGUGUCCUCACUUGGAUAAUCAUUGUAUUUAUUCACAUGUGGAUACAUACUUAUUUAUUUCUAUUAUGUAUACCUUAAUAUAAAGUCGUCUAAGCUAUUUGACCUAGCUAGACACAGAUUCAGAAAUAUCGUUGAAUAUGAUAAAACCUUUUUGUAUCCAAUCAAAUUUCUUUAGUUCGGAUUCCUGACUAAUUAUGAAUAUCCCGAACAUGGGAAAACUUUUAUGCACCAAGGCGGACAAAGUGAACAAUGAUAUCGUUCUUGAAUGUAGUAUUGAUCAAUACAGGGCAUAACGGGCUGAUCACCCCCCGUGCCCGUAAGUUAUGACGGUUUACAGAUGAAGUUUUGUUUAACCUUUUUGAAAAUAGAAAACAAUAUAUUAUAUAUAUAGAAAUAAUAUAUUGUUAUGAUUGGUUCAGUUUACUUCACAACUAUUGAUUCGUUGUAGAAGUGUAGUACAAAGAAAACAUUUAAUCCUUUCAGUUAAUACUUAUGAUUGCUAUUACUUGCUGGGCACUCAAAUGCUCAUCCUUGCUUAAUUUAAAUGUUUUCAACUAAGUGUGAACAACCAGAAGGCUCUGCCAAGAAUAAAGGAAAAGAGAAGGUGGCUGAAUGAGUUUUUAUGAUAUUUAUGUAAUAAUUUAACUUUAUUAUGAUAAGGAUGAUAUAUAUUAUUAUUAUUAUCAUGUAAUGAAUGAAUUAAAGGUUACGUACUUGGGAGCUAGACUCUGAUAUUUAUGUAAAUUAAGUUAAAUAUUUAUAUUAUUGUUAUUAUUAUUAGUAUUAUUCUGCUCAUAGAAAUGGUAUCGUGAAGCACCGAGUUCGGGUUUCAAGUACCAGAAUUUGGGGGCUUUAUAGAAUGGUAUCAGAGCUUUAGGGUUAAAAAUCUUAGGUGGGAUAGACCUUAGGCUAUAACCUUGAGACAUAAGGAAAAGUUAAAAAUACAAAUAACUAAUAUAGAGUUUAAAAAGAGACGAAUUGAGUAAAUUCAUCAUCAAAACAAAAUAAAAGAUAACCCAUAUAAAACUAUUAUUUGUUGUGUGUAUAUAUUAUGUGUUAAUCAAGAUAGUUGGUGUGUAGAUGUUAGAUGGAUAAGGAUUGGGAUACCCUCAGAUCGUAAAGAAGGAGCCAACCUCCAUAACCGAGCUAAUAUCAAAGCCAAUAGCUGAAAUAGAGGCUCACACUAAAAGCUACCUCAAUGAGGUGGUUAUUUUGGAAAAUGUAGUACUGGACCCAGAAACGAUAGUAUAACUGACAGGUAGAGUAUAGUUAAAGAAUGAUAUGAAUACUUCAAUACUACAAACAUAAGUGUUUAAGAACUCGAUAUGAAUACUUCAAUACUACAAACAUAAGAGUUUAAGAACUCGAGCUUAAUCUUAUAUUCUUGAAUUACUACUCCCUUUCUUCACCAGCCCUUGAACCCUUGACCUCUAGAAACUCAAUAAUCAAACGAGUACCAAAUGGCUACAAGGAGGACUAGUAUAGUUAUGUGUGAAUGGAUUAUCGAGGAUAAUGGGAAUAUAUAGAAUACUAAGCAUUAAUCCUUAGCAAAGGUGUAGAAGAUAAGUAGUAUUAGUAUUACUUGAAUGAGUAUGAUUCUCUGUGGUGUAAAUGAUAGGUAUGUCUGUGUAAUAUAAUAUUCUUAACUUUUGUAUAAGUUAUGGCAGCGAUUCCCAACUUUUGAGUCACAAAGGGAUAGCCGAUGUUUAAAGCAAUAUGUUUAUGGUAUGUAAAGUACUAUGAAUAUUAAUCUAUGUUGGAUUAAUGAAAUAAGUUGGUAUAAAGAUAGUAAUUAUUUAUCUGAACAUUGGUUAAUAUGGCAAACCAAAGUUUUCAAAAUCUAAUAUUUUGAAUACAUGAUUAUUUGAGUAGAAAAUUUCGCAUUAUGUGUAUACCCUAAGACAUAGAAGGUAAGUUGAUGAAAGAUAAAUUAUGAUUAAUCAGAUAAUCUCGCCAAGACGAAAAUGAAAUCAACAGACAGAAGAAUCUAUCGAUAAAGCUGGGAGACAACCAGACCUGAUACAGAAUUUUGCGAUUUUGGUCGCUCAAGAUAUGCAGAAUGGAAUACUAGCCGUGGGAAAUCAGUUAGAGAAUCGAUUAGCGAACUUGAAAGACUUCAAGAUAGUCGGAACGCUAGGAUUUAGAGGAUCAAUCGACCCUGUAGAAGCAUUUGUGAUAGCUGGGGUAACGGAGGGGCAAAAGACAACUUUUGCCACCUAUACGAUGAAAGGGGAGACAAAUUUUUGGUGGGAGGAAAAUCAAGCUAAAGCCGAAGAAGGAAGUAGUGGGGGUAGGACUGGAAAAAGGAAAUGAAAUAAGAAAGGGGAUAAUUUCGGUAAUACCAAAAUUAGGCUAGGAGGUGGAAAAAAAAUAGGUUAUGCAGUGUAGAAAUUACAGAAAGAAUCACUCGAGAGAGUGUCUUAAAGGUAAGUUUGUGUGUUAUAAUUGUGGGUAGAAGGGACAUAUCUCUCCCAACUGCCCUAAUUCGAGAAUGUAUAGUGGAUGUUUUAUUUGUGAAUCAAUGGAGCAUAAGGUGAAAGAUUGUCCAAGAAGGGGAAAGGAAGCAAGGAAUGCAAAUACGGAAAAAGGCAACAGGACAUUGGCGAUACCAGGACAUUCAACAAAUAAACCAAUAUAAUAAACCGCAAGAGUCUUCAAUAUGACCGUUCAAGAUACCGUGGCAGCUGAGGAUGCAACUCCAGGUAUUAUUCAUAUAACUUUUAUUUUCUUAAAUAUGAUUUUCUUAUAUAUAGUAAUUAUUUUAUAAAUUAUUUUGAAGGAGGAAAUUGAGUUCUAUUAAAAAUCAAUUUUCCGUUUAAGCAGAUAGACAAGCUUUAUGCUAAAUAGUUAAAGAACGGUUCGAUCAAUUAUGAUCAAGAAUGUAAUGAUUGUGUAUGCUAUGUACCCUUGUAUAUAUAGGUUUUAAAACGGUGAUUCCGGGGACGAAAUCUUUAUAAGGGAGGGUGAAUGUAACAACCCGAUAUUUUUUAUAUAAAUAAAUCAGAAAUUUUGCAUAUAAUUUUUUUAAUUUAUUAAAAUAAAUAUGGGGAAUAUGUGCCAAGAUAAUGUGUAUAUGUAUUUAUGUGAUAAAUAAAAAUAUAUUUAUUACCUAAAUAAUUAUUGCAAAUAAAUUUUUAUGUUAGAAUUAUUGAUCAUUAUAAGUUAUAUUCUUAUAAUAACUAAUUUUAUAGUAGAAAUGUUUUUAUUAAUUAUUUUCCAUGAAAAUAUAAUUAUAUAUUAUUUAAAUAAUAUAUGAAAUGAUUUUUAGAAUUAUUAUAAUAAUUAUUUAUUUUAUUAUAUGAAUUUAUGUUAGAUUAAUUAAGUUAAUUAUUUUUUUAACUCAAUUAAUAAUGCUAUAUAUGAAAGAUAAAUCAGAUAUAGAAUCUAAACCCUAAUUUUAGAUUUUUGUCAAGGAAUGAGAAUAAUAAUAUAAUAUUAUUUUAUUUCUGCGCUAUAAAUAUGUAUUGUAUGUAUAUGGACUGACAAUGGUUGGUCAAUUAUGGUGUAUUAUGUCAAACCCUAGUUUUACUGUGUUAAACCCUAAUUUGAAACUCACAUUAGAGUUCAAGAUUGUUUGUAAUUGUGUUAAUGUUAUUAAUUAACAAGUGUUAGAAUUAUAAUUAUUAAUUAGAGAAACCCUAAAUUUUUGAAACCCUAAUUAAUGUGUAUAAACUCUAAUUUUUAUAUUUGAAACCCUAACUGUCAAAUUAGGAAACCAUAAUUGAUAAUUUAGAAUGUUUAAUGUUAAUUAGUAAAUUUUAAACCCUAAUAUUCAUGUAUAAUGUAAUUAGAAACCUAAUCUAAUUAAGAAAACUUUAAUUUGUAAUUUUUAGAAAUUAUUUUUUUUAUUUUUUUAAACUAAAAUUUUACAUUUUUCAAACCCUAAUAGCCAAAUCUUACAAAUGAUAUGUGCUAAACCUUAGGGUUAAACCCUAAGGGUUUGUCAAGAUUACAAAAUGGCCAUUAAAAAUGCAGGCAAAAAGACUAAAAUGCCCCUCUAGCAUUAUUUAAGGUAACUUGUGUAUCUUGCCAUAUUUUGAGUUGGUGACCAAACCUAGAUAUCCCAUGUGACUUAAAGACACUAAAAUCAGCCACCUAUCCUAGCCAAUUCAUGCAUCUAGCUUAGUAUAUAUAGAUUUGAGAGAGAGAGAAAAUGUUACAUGCUAGCUCAUUUUGUACAAACUCUCAUCCUUGACUCUCUCAACUCAUAACCCAUGAAAUCAUUUGCUAAGAUCAGUCACAAACCAAGCCCCACUAUUACUUUUAACAAAAUCAGAAGCCAUAAUCAAGAUUAAGCCAAGAAAGGUAUAAAACCCUAAGCUAUAAUCUGACUUUUAUUUCCAUGUUAGAUGUUAGUUUUUGUGUGUUAAACAUGUUGUUUAUAAUCCAUAUAGUUGAUCUGGGUUGGUAGAUGAUAGAUCAAUAACAUCUAAGUGCACGAAUUUAAAAUUUUUCAAAAUCUGGAAAAAAGUUUAAAGUAUGGUCUGACAACGAAUGUCAGUGGCCAUCAAUCUUUCUCUGUUAUGUGUUUUUGUUGUUUAAAGCUUUGAUCUUGUAUUCUGAUAUGUGCUCUUUGAUCUGGAUCAAGAAUCACGCUUAGAUCCGGUCUAGAUUGCAAAUUAUUCGUGGUCAAACCACGUUGACCGGAAUUGACCAGAAGAAAUCUGGGCAGCCCAGAACAUGCCCAAAUAGGUCUGACAAGAAGUUCAUGGCCUUUGAUCUUUCUGUUUGUUGUUUGUUUGUUGUUUUUGUUGCAUCUAGAUUGUAGUCUGGUGUAUGAACUUCAUGUUUAUGCCUUAAAAUAUCCUAAAAAUUAAACUGAAUGAAAGUAGUAACUGGUCAAAGUAGCUAAGUAGUUCACGUUUAUGGUUUUCUGGGAAACCCAGAAAAUCUAUGAACAUGGGUUCUGACAAUAUUUGACCGGAUCUCAUAUGCUUGAACUGUUCUGCAUUUCUGGGUAACCCAGAAAUGAAGAACAACCUCUGACAGCUACUUUAAUGGCUCAGAUCUCUUUGGUUAUAUGUUGUAUGAACCUGUUUGUUAUUGGAUCUUGUAGUCUUGCAUUAGUACUACACGAUCUGAUCAACAGCAUGCCCAGAAACACAAUACACACUUGUUUAAUAUUGGUCAAACAUGGUCACUCAGUCACUACACAUGAAUUUCUGGGUUUAUGAAGAAUAUGAAGAACACCUAUAGUGACGGUUCUGUCGCUAUAGGUGGUCUUUAGCGACAGUUUAUUUAUAAAAAUUAUAUUUUUAUUUAAUAAUUAUAGAAAAUUAGUUUUUAAUUAUUAAAAAUACAUAAUAAAUUAUUAAAAAUUAUUUUAAAGUCCAAAAAUUAGUUUUUAAUUAUUUUAAGUAUAUUUCAUAAAUAUUUAAUAUUUUUGAAAUAUUAAUUUUAUUUAAUAAUAUAAUAAAUAAAUUAUUUAAAAAUGAUUUUAAUACUUAAAAAAUCAUUUAAAAUUAUAUUAUGGUAUAAGAAAAUAUUUUAAGUUAUUUUUAAUGACUUUUAAUAUUUUGUGAAGAAAUUUAUUAAUAAAUUAAUAUUAAUGAUAAUUUAGUUAUUUAAUAAAUAAAUUAAAUAAAUAAUUUAAAAAUGAUUUUAUUAUAUUAAAAAUCUUUUUAAAUAAUAAUAAGGUAUUUAAAAAUAUUUUAAGUUAUAAAAUAUAACUUUUAAUAUUUAAAGGUAAAUUUCAUUAAUUAAUUAUUAUUAAUGAUAUUAAAGUUAUUUAAUAAACAUAUUAAAUAAUUUAGUUUUAAAAUGAUUUUAUUAUUAUAAAAAUCAUUUUAAAUAAAAAUAAAGUGCUUAAAGAUAUUUUAAGUUAUAAAUAUAACUUUUAAUAUUUAAAGGAUAAUUUCAUUAAUAAUUUAAUUUUAAUGAUAUUAAUUUAAUGUUAAUAAUAUUAAAUUUAUUUAAUAAUUAUAUUAAAUAAAUGGUUUAAAAUGGUUUUAUUAAUCAUUUAAAAAGGAUAUAAAUGAAUUAAAAAUAUUUUAAGUUAUACUUAAUGACUUUUAAUAUUUUAAGGAAUAGUACAUUAAUAUUUUAAUAUUAAUGGUAAUUUAAAAAUGAUUUUAAAUGUUUUAAAAAUCAUUUAAGGGUAAUAUAAAUGUUUUAAAAAUAUUUUGUCAAUGAUUUCAUUAAUAGUUUAAUAUUAAUUAAAUAUUAAUGAUAAUAGAAUUGUUUAAUGUUUAAAUCAUUUAAUAAUGAUUCCGGUGUUUAAAAAUUCACGAUAAAUUAUAAUAAAUAUUUUAAAAUUAUUAUAAGUCAUUUAAAAAUAAUAUGACUGAUACGUACAGAUAUUGAACUUCACGAUAGAGUCUUAGACUCGAUAAUUACCUGAUAAAGCCGUCGGUAGACCAACAUGUUUCAGAAAUUGAUCUGGACUUAGAUAAUUUGAUUAGAUAUGUGUUUGUUUGUGUUCCAAUAUGUGACGCCCCCAAAAUAGGUCCACACGACCCAUUCUGAGUCGCCAGAUAUCACACUACAGAAAUCAAAUAUAAACUUCAUUUAUACAACUUUUGAAUUGUCGUGUAGAGUACGACAACAGAUAAGCUGUGAGUUUCAAUACAAAAUCUAUGUAAUUCUCAUGGUGCCUCGACCACAAUACCUUACAAAGGUACUUUACAUAAAAGUACAGUUAAUAACUAUUUUAGAAAUUAAAAUCUUUAGAAAAUGCUCAAGGAAACCUUCAUACAUGGGAGGCCAUGCAUCUAAGUUAUGAUAUAUAUCUUAUGACUCGAGAAUUAUCCUUGGUUGACACAAUAGACCCCAAAGAAAAAUGAAAAGAUUACUGUCAUGCUCUUUCCAAUGGUGAGUCUUCUCUUAUUAUAUAAUUAUCUCCAUUGUCUCCAAGCGAUAAUUAUAUUUCAAAUAAACUCCAAGAUUAUAUAGGUAGUGCUCGUAGAUAUACUCAGCAAGUGGAUGUGCACAACCCUGUCUUAUGAUAACACGAAGUUGUAUGUCAUUUGAAAUCUUGUAUGAUAGUGGCAAAAUACCCUUCCAAAGUUGGGUUCACCUCACCCUAUUCGGUUCACCAAAAUUAAAUAUCAAAUGACGUAUACAAUACGACACACUUAUCUAAAGUUCUCAAUAAAAUUAUUUCCAUACUAUUUAGGGAGAACCUCAACAGCUAUAGACCACCGUUCUAUUCCCCUGUUACCCCCGCUCGACCCAGCUACACUCUUAUUACCUGAAAGGAAUUGUGAAGCAAAAGGGUGAGCACAACUAGCUCAGUAAAGAAUAUCAUGACUAAAGAUAAUUAAAUCAUCAAUAGCCUUCAUCAGUAAUAAAUCAGAGAUUUAGAACAUAUGGUAGAUGAUAAAACUUUUCAACCAUAGUUGCAGCGGAAUGAGCAAUCCAUUAGAAGAGUCAAAUAUACCAUAGGGUCUAUUAUCUUCUCCAUGUUAAAAGUCCACCAAUAAUGUUUUAUCCCUGUAACAUCAAUCAACAAUUCCUAUCCACAAUCAUGUGAAUAACUCAUAAUCAUAAUUGUGAUUCUAAAUUUCUCUUUUUCACCAAGGACGAAGAUAAUUUUUAUCACCUAUCUUUACCUGAAACAUCAAAAAUCAUGGUUAUAGCAAAUCAUAAUUCUUGUUCACAAUCAUACUAAUAAAUUCAUCUUUGCACUAUGGGCCAAAGAUAUUCAUUAACAAUUCAUCUUUUCUCUAACAGGCCAAAGACAUACAACUGUAUUAUAAAAGAGUCAAGUAGAGCAUGAUAUCUACUAUCUUUUACGAAUUAAAAGUGUAUAAUCAAUAUUUUAUCGCUGAAACUCAGCUUAAUAAAUAAUCCACAUCAUUGAAUCAUCCUUGCACUACGACCAAGGAUAUUCAUGUAAUCAACAAUGGUCAUGAUUAUACCGAAUAAUCCCUGGUUAUAAUCAUACCAAUAAUUGUCCAUCAAUGCACUACAUGCCAAUGAGGACUUUUACCACAUCAUCUAUAACAUUACGGGUCAUGAUUAUACCGAAUGAUCCCUGGUCAUAAUCAUACCAAGAAACAGUUCAUCUAUGCACAUAAGCCAAAGAUACUCAUCAAUCAAUAAUUCAUCUUUGCACGUAAGCCAAAGAUAUACAACAGUAAAAUCAAUAAUCAACAGUCCAUCUUUGCACGUAAGCCAAAGAUGACUUUCAUCACAAUAUAAGCAUGAGGAUGAUGACAAUGAUAUAAGCAUUAAUCAAACGAAAACAAGGAUAAAUAUUAAAGACUUUAAAUUUAUCCAAAUAUUAUCAAUCACUUAAUAAACUCAUAAUCUAAUAUUAUUAAUAUUAUAACAAUAUUUUAAUCACUUCUUAAACUUAUAAACAAUUUAUUUUAAUUGUUUACACUUUACCAAAUAAUGCAUUUAAUCAUUCAAAAAUGCCAUACUCAUAAGAUUUCAUCUCCAAUAAUCAAAUCCCUCAUCAAAAAUCUGCAUAUAACAUAUAUAUGAUUCCCAAGCCAUAAAAUCUUAUUUUCCAAUUUUGUUACUUCACAUAACAUAUUUAAUUCAUUUACUCAUAACUAGUUAAUUUUCAUGAAAAAUACCAAAUCAGCCCCAAAAAUAUUUCUUUUCUGGGAUUUAGCAAAAUAUAGUCCCAUAUUGAACAUAUAUUUUUCUCGGAAUUUUAAAAAUUCAUUUACUAUUUUUCAUAUUGCCAAAACUGCCGAAUAUUUAAAAAUUUAUCAUAAAUUGUACUUUUGUCCAAAAAUUCCGAAAUUUACAUGGUAUACUCCUGUUAUAUACAUGUACUCCCAAUAAAAAUUUCACCAAUUUUGGAGUUAACCACAAGGCGUUAUAAAGGUUUACUUUUAAAAUAGUCUUUUCCCAUAAAAUUCAUAACUCCUAAUCUAUACAUCCAAAAAUCGCCAUUUUUGGACACAAUCUAGAAAACUCAACAAAAUACCAUUUUAAUUUUUUCCAGAAUUUUUGAGGGUCAGAAAAAUUACAAAACUGUAAAUGGAUUUUCACCCGUCAUGCAGUAAUCCGCGUAGACAGAUCAUUUCCACAAUUUAAUAAGGAAUGAAUACAAAUGAUCAUUCACCAUGCAUGCAGUAAUCCACAUAGACAUGUUAUUCCAACAUAAUAAUAAAGAAUGGAAUAACAGAAGAAUUCACCAUGCAUGCGAUAGACACACAGACAUGUUAUUCCCAACAGAAUAAUAAAGAAUGGAAUAACAAAAAAAUUCACCAGGCAUGCGAUAGACCGCACAGACAGGUUAUUCCAACAUAAUAAUAAAGAAUGGAAUAACAACCCUUACGAGUAUUAAAAGAAAAUAACUCUUCAUGAAUAUGAAAGAAUAAUACCCCUUACCUUAGAAGAAACUGGAUACUGGAAUAGAAAGGUAGCAGACUUCUCUUCUUCUUUCUCGCUAUAAUUUCUCUCUAUAAUAAUUGCUCUAUAACUUUAAUGAAUUGGUGAGAAAUGAAGGAAGAAUGAGCUUCUAUUUAUAGGAAAAUAUAGUUUCGAUAAUUACACGUUUUGAGGCUCAAAAUAUUACAUUACAAUACCUUCAACUUUUCUUUUAUUUUUUAUUUAGUCCUGCAAGUAUUAUCAAACUUGCACUACCUCCCCUAAUAGUAAAUCAUGUGAAUUAAUAGUUCAUUCAUGUGACUUAAUAGUUAUAAUUAUGUGAAAAUACGAAUUAUAGUAUAGUACCUCCAUCUAUACCUCCAUUUUUAACUUAGUCAUGCAAGUAUUAUUAAUCUUGCACCACCUUCCCUAAUAGUACAUGAAUGUGAAUCAAUAGUACACACAUGUGAACAAAUAGUUAUAAUCAUAUGAAUCAAUAGUAAUUAAUUGUUCAUUUAUCCGAUUAAUUACUAGAUUGGUCAAUAUAACCUCGAAACAUUAAUUAUUAUCGAAAUAAAUGUCGAUUUUCACUAACACUAAUAAUCCCAACACAAUGGAAAUAUUUUUCUCAAAAAUUUCAUUUUUGAAAUUUUGAAGUUUGACUUUUUCUGAAAAAGUCAACUGUUGACUUUUUUGACCAAAAAGUCAACCCCAACAAAUUUUGUGUUUAUAGUCUAUUUCUACUAAUUUCAUCGUUCUGGACUCAAAUAUCAUGUUCGCAUCUCUAAAUUCAACUCCAAACUCAAAUUCGAUUUUUAAUAACAUUCAUAAUUAAUAUUAUAACUCACAAUAUUUAACAACCAGGUCGUUCCCAGGAAAGAGGGAGCAUUCCGAUAAGGAUUUCUCCUUAUUGGCGUGCAAUUAAGUGACCAAACCUCUCCUUGAUAGAACUUUUAGACAUUGUCAAUAUUGCAAAUAAUAAUAUGAAUAACUUUGUCGUCUCAAUUAUUGAUUUAAUAAUAUAUAAAAUAUUAUGUAGAUGAUAUUGUGACAAUAAUUGAAUCAAUAAUAUGAGAGAUAUGAUGCAACAAUAAUUAUAGCAAUAAUUGAGUAUAACUGAGUGACUUCUCACAUAAGCAUUAAUAAUCAAUACCGUGUACUACUAUGCAACCACGCGUAUUACUGUACUUUUACUACUGGUUAUUUUAUGACAACUUGCUUACUUUGAAUUUUUUUUUUCAAAUAUGACCCUUAACUUUAAACUUUUAUCAAUUUAACUAUUUACCAAAAUAGAAAAAUUGAAUACUUUUAUUUCAUAAAAUUCGGGAUCUCACACAAUGACGGUUGAACAUGGGUGACAAUGUGAUUAGGUUAUGUGCUGUCUGCAAAAUGAAGUACUAUGUGUUAUAGUAUAUUGUUCUAAUCGAACGAAUGAUCUUAUUAAUGAUAUGUCGUGAUAGAAAAGAUAAAACUAAGUUGUGUAUUGUAAGCAGCAGACCAGGCAAGUAUCCUACCUUUGCAUUUACUUUAUGCAAUGGAUAUAAGUAAGAAAGUUUUAGAUUUAUAUUAUUAUUAUUGUUCCAGAAUAAUAACCCUAUUGUUAUCGAGUAUGUAUCCGAUCAUUAUUUAUUAGUACAGUAUUAUUGUAUAAUAUUUUGUUCGUUAAUUUCUAAAUAUGGUUAUACAAGUGUCCUCACUUGGAUAAUCAUUGUAUUUAAUCACAUGUGGAUACACACUUAUUUAUUUCUAUUAUGUAUACCUUAAUAUAAAGCCGUCUAAGCUAUUUGACCUAGCUAGACACAGAUUCAGAAAUAUCGUUGAAUAUGAUAAAAACCUUUUUGUAUCCAACCAAAUUGCUUUGGUUCGGAUUCCUGACUAAUUAUGAACAUCCCGAACAUGGGAAAACUUUUAUGCACCAAGGCGGACAAAGUGAACGAUGAUACCAUUCUUGAAUGUAGUAUUGAUCAAUACAGGGCAUAACAAGCUGAUCACCCCCCGUGCCCGUAAGUUAUGACAGUUUACAGAUGAAGUUUUGUUUAACCUUUUUGAAAAUAAAAAAUAAUGUUCAUAGUCUGUCGACUACCCUAUAUAUAUAGUUAAUACGUAGUUUCAAAAAAUUUGAUAUAGAAAUAAUAUAUUGUUAUGAUUGGUUCAGUUUACUUCACAACUAUUUAUUCGUUGUAGAAGUGUAGUAUAAUGAAAACAUUUAAUCCUUUCAACUAUAACUUAUAAUUGCUAUUACUUGCUGGGCACUCAAAUGCUCAUCCUUGCUUAAUUUAAAUGUUUUCAGCUAAGUGUGAACAACUGGAAGGCUCUGCCAAGAAUAAAGGAAAAGAGAAGGUUGCUGAAUGAGUUUUUAUGAUAUGUUAUGAAAUAGUUUAACUUUAUUAUGAUAAGGAUGAUAUAUAUUAUUAUUAUCAUGUAAUGAAUGAAUUAAAGGUUAUGUACUUGGGAGCUAGACUCUAAUAUUUAUUUAAAUUAAGUUAAAUAUUUAUAUUAUUCUUAUUAUUAUUAGUAUUAUUCCGCUCAUAGAAAUGGUAUCGUGAAGCACCGAGUUCAGGUUUCAAGUACUUUACAACUCCUCACCGGGGUUAUCUCCGGUUUGGGCUGAUAAUAGACGUUACUCAGGGAUACAUCUGAGAUUUGAGUGCUACAAGUGUUUGAAUUCCGUAAGGUCAUCUGUAGUGUGCCUGUCUUCCCGGUGUUAGCUCCGGGUCUUUAGUAUGAGUGCCUCGGCAGGAGGUCUGAGAUUGAAGCUGAUAGCAUGCAUUUGAAACAAGCAUUUUUGGAGUUAUCACCGGAAUUGCAACAUCAUUCCUUGGGGUUAUCUCCAAGGAUGAAACUUGGGGUUAUCUCCGAGGUUGGAAUUGAUACUUCUGGUGUGUGUUCCGGGGUUGAGAUUAAACUUCCGGUAGUAUCUGGAAUGGAUGUGAGCUGUCUUCCAGGGUUAUCUUCGAAAGAUGAAUCUGUCCUCCUGCAAUGUUAGUAACAGGUGUGCAAAAAAUUUUGAGUGUCUACAUUAGGAUAACCUAAAUAGGGUUUUAUCUAGAUAAUUAGGGUUAGUGUUUACAAAUUAGGGUUAAGUUUUGUUAAAUAGGGUUAGGGUUUAUAAUCUAGGGUUACUAACCUAGCUUUCCUACUAAUCAUAACAAGCACGACAAAGCGUUUUGUCAAUGUAAGCACGAUAAAGCAGCUUGUCCAAACAAAUAUACCGAAAAGUAUUUUUUAGAAGAAACGUUUUAAGAAUGAGGUGUCAAGCACGUCAAUUUUUGGAUAAAAUUUUAUUUGACCAAAUUUGUUAAAUAGGGUAUAUAUUAACAUAUAACACUUUCAGAACGGAGAGAUUUUAUUAAUAUAACUGAAUUUUACAUAUCCGAGUCUUAUUAGGGUUUUGGGUUUUUACAAAACCUUAGGAAGUAACCUUUAAGGAGACAUAAAACAUAGUGGUGAUAAACUCUUAUCGAGUUCUAAGGAAUGAAUUAAGGAAUUCAUUGAAGAUAAAACAAAAUAAUAAAAGACUUUAUGUGCUAUGUCUUAAUAACUUAUGUGCUCGCGAAUAUCAAAGAGUAUCACGUAAUAAAUAAAAUUUAAAAGUAUUUUGUUGUCAAGAUGUCUAACGUUUAAGGAUCCAUUUAAAGUAGGGAAGAGAUACCUUAGGUACCUACGGAUGAGGAACCCUGAGAUGUUCAUGUGGUUUGGGAGCAGUUGAUUCAGAGAGAGGCUUCUCUGUUGCUCGCUGAGGAAGAAUAGGAAGAUGAGCCUGUGUUUGAUCUUGAGGAGGAGAACUCUGAGGAGAUAGAGGUGGAGGAUGAGGAGGAGGAUCUUGUGGAGUUUACACCAAACUCCAUAUCAGCUGAGAUCUAUGAUGAGUUGUAUGACCAAAACAUAGAAUUAUAGGAUAAGAUUGAGGAGCUGAAGGAGCUAGUUGAGAUGCGUCAGGCUACUAUAGAGGAUAAAAAUGUGGAGAUUCAGGAACUCCAUUCACAACAUGGGAACACGGAAUGGAACCUAGUUCACACAAAGGGACAUCAAGAGGAGUUAUUGGCUAUGAAUGAGAAGAAGAAGACUGAAGUGGAGAAGCUAAAAUAUGACUUGAAAGAGGACUCAACUAAGCGUGCGAGAGUAGAAGACACUUGGAUGAAGGCUACUCGACGUGCAGAUCGUACUAAAGCCAAGGUUCAAAUGAAGAAGGCUAAGAUGAAUGAGAUGGAUAAUGUCUUUCAUUAUGCGAUUGAUAGGGCCCAGGAUAGAGUCUUUUAUUACCUACCUCAAUUUGAAGACUUAACGUGGUACAUGAUGGAUCGUAGGACGAUGUAACGUAUUAUGGAAGAAGAGCGUAGAGGUCUUAAUAUGCCAAGAUAGGAAUAAUAAUAAUAUGUGAUUAAGUAUGUGAUUGAAUAAAUUAUAAAUCCCUUAUUUUGAGAUAAAUAAAGGGGUAAGAUGAGUAUGUAAUUCUGAAACUUGUCAAUUUCAGGAAAGAUGAUAUUGAUAGCAGAGAUUACUAUCCUUACUAUGUUAUGAAAAGUUAUGAAUGAAUAAAAAUAUCAAAGUUUAUUGAAAUGUUAUGUGUUAAAGCUUUAAUCUUAGAAUGAUUAAAGUUAAACUUUAAGAUAUUCAAGGAAUUUAGUAGUGCUCUAAUAAGCGUAUAUUUUAACAAAAAAUGCCUCCUAGAAGAAGAUAAACAUGCCAACAACCACCUCCUGAGGAGUCUACUAACAAUAACAAUAACGAGGCCAACGCUAACCCGGUUCAGCAGUUGGUGACUUUGUUAACUUGAGCACUUGCGAAUCACCCGCAAUCUUAAGUCACGACUUUUAAGGACUUCAAAGAAGUUGGACUACCAGAGUUUCAAGGUUUUAUGAAUCCAGUUGAAGCCCAAACCUGGAUCAUGGAAAUGGAGAAGGUGUUCGACAUUUUCAGAGUCAACGAGGAUCAGAAGACCGCUUUCGCAACAUUUAUGUUGAAGUCUAAAGCUAGCUAUUGGUGGCAGGCGAAUAAGGUUCAUGGGGGACAUGGAAUAGUAGCGUGGGAUAGGUUUAAAGAAAUGUUUUUUGAAAUGUACUUUUCGACUAGUUUAUGGAAUCAGUUGGAAGUUCAAUUCUUAGAGCUAAAGCAAGGAACUAUGAUUGUACCGGAGUAUGCUCCAAAGUUUAAUGAGCUGAAAAGGUUUUCUAUGUAUCAAGUAAAUAUCAAUGAGUGUAAGGCAAGAAGGUUUGACCAAGGGUUGAAGCCCUGGCUGUAUAUAAAGGUUUCAAUGUUCUAGUUAAACACGUUUGCAUCAGUAUUGGAAAAAGGUAAUUAUCGCGAAAGUUGGAAGUGAUGCCUUAACCAAAUAUAAUCAAGAACAAAAGAAGAAAAAGAAUGAGAAUAAAAAUAAGGUUAGUUGAAGAAAUAGUUGAAGUAACAACCAAAAGAAGAAAUGGAAUGAAAAUUCGAGUGCGGGAGGACAACAAGGAAGUCAGCAAAAGAAGAAAGUUAAAGCUUGUGCUACUUGCGGAAAGAACCACAUUGGUGUGUUUGAAAGGAAAACGAGUGUAUUUUAAUUGUGGCUAGGAGGGUCACAUUGCACCAAACUGUUUAAGUCCAAAUAAAUGAUCAUGUUUCACCUGCGGGUCGAAGGAUCACAUGGCUCGUGAUUGCCCUAAAAAGACAGCGGGAAGCACAAGUGGAGGAAAAGGAAACAACAGUGGUGGUACUUUAACUAUCAUUGGACCAUUGCAAUCAAGCUGACCUACUGCUAGGACUUUCAACAUGACAGUGCAGGAUGUUAUGAAUUCAAAGGAUGUGGUGUCAGGUAUCAUUCCGAUUAAUGGUAAUAAUGCUUAUGUGCUAUUUGAUUCAGGUGCUACUUAUUCAUUUAUAUCCGAUGAUUUUGCCCAGAAUUUAGAUCUACCUCAAGAAGAAUUAAAUUUCCCUUUAAGUAUAGAAAUUGCGAAUAGGGAAGUGAUUAAUGUUAGGUUUAUAUACAAGAAAUGUACAGUGGUUAUAAAAAACCAUGAAAUUACGGUAGAUUUGAUACCAAUUAAACUUGGGGAAUUCGAUGUUAUACUGGGAAUGGAUUAGUUAUUCAAUUAUGGGGCAGUAAUUGAUUGUCAAAAGAAAUGUGUUAACCUUAUGACUCCAUCAAAGGUGGUAUUUUAUGGAAGCAAGUCACCUCGAUAAGCAAGUUAUCUGACAGUGAUGCAAGCAAAAACGUUACUGAGAUAAGGAUGUGUAGGUUACUUAGCCUACAUAGUCGAUACACAAAAGAAGAAUGUGAAGUUAGAAGGGAUACCGAUUAUUAGAGAUUUUACAUACGUAUUUCCAGACGAUUUGCCUGGACUUUAGCUAGAUAGAGAGGUUGAGUUCGUGAUUGAUUUAGUACCAGGAACGGCCCCGAUAUUUAAAGCCUUAUACAGAAUGGCUCCUGUAGAGAUGAAGAGUUGAUGGUAUAAUUACAAGAAUGACUGGAUAAGUAGUAUAUCCAGCCGAUUGUAUCACCAUGGGGAGCGCCACUGUUGUUCGUUAAGAAGAAAGAUGGAUCAAUGCGGCUCUGUAUUUAUUAUAGAAUUGAAUAAGGUCAUGAUUAAAAAUAAUUAUCUAUUAUCAAGAAUCGAUGACUUGUUCAAUCAACUAAAGGGAGCAAGAUAUUUCACGAAGAUAGACUUGAGUAGUGGUUAUAAUUAGAUGAAGGUGAGGCCAGAGGAUGUACCAAAAUUGACAUUCAAAACUUGGUAUGGUCAUUACGAGUUUCUGGUUAUGUCAUUUGGUUUAACCAAUGUACCUACAACGUUCAUGGAUUUGAUGAAUAGGGUGUUUAAACCAUUCUUAGAUAAAUUUAUAGUGGUGUUUAUUGAUGAUAUACUGGUGUAUUUUAAGACCAAGGAGGAACAUGUUGAACACUUAAGGGUGACGUUGGAGACAUUAAGGAGAGAGAAGUUGUACGCUAAAUUCUCAAAGUGUGAGUUUUGGUUAGAACCUGUACAAUUUCUUGGGCAUGUUAUUGACAAGGACGAAAUCUCGGUAGAUCCAUCGAAAGCUGAAGCUGUAAUAAACUAAGAUCAACCGAAGACACCGUCAGAAGUAAGAAGUUUCUUAGGAUUGGCAGGUUACUAUAGGCGUUUUAUUUAAGACUUUUAAAAGAUCGCAACCCCGUUGACUAAUUUAACUAGGAAGGCAGUUAAGUUUGCUUGGACGAAGAAGUGUGAGGAGAGUUUUCUAGAAUUAAAGAACAGAUUUAGUUCAGCACCUAUGUUAUUGUCACCUGAUGAUACAGAAAAUUUUGUGGUAUAUAGUGACGCAUCGCUUAAAGGACUAGGUUGUGUGCUUAUGCAAAACGGCAGAGUUAUUGCGUAUACAUCACGUCAAUUGAAGGAUUACGAAAAAGGGUAUCCGAGUCAUGAUUUAGAGUUGGCUGCGGUGGUGUUUGCCCUGAAGAUUUGGAGACACUAUCUUUAUGGAGAGAGGUGUGAGAUAUAUAGAUACCAUAAAAGUUUGAAGUAUAUCUUUACACAAAAAGAUUUGAAUAUGCGACAAAGGAGAUGGCUGGAGUUGAUUAAAGAUUACGUCUGCGAGAUUCUUUAUCAUCCCAGAAAGGAGAAUGUUGUUGUCGAUGCCUUAAGUAGAAAGGGACGGGAGAAAUUAAUGAUGUUGACUGCUCAGGAAAAACUUAUAGAAGAAAUGGCCAAGAUGGAGUUGGAAAUUAAAUAUCCGACAUAACCAAACAAAAAAUUGUUCCAGAUGGUGAGCAAUUCAAUGUUGGUGGAUAAGGUAAAGAACACAUAACUUCAGGAUUAAAACUGUGAAAAGAUAAGAAGAAAAGUGUCUAAAGGUGAGGAAGACAAAUUUAAAGUUGAUUCAGAAGGGUUACUUUGAUUCGAAGGGAGAAUUUGGGUUCCACCAGUACUGGAAAUUAAAGAGGAAAUUUUGAGUGAGGCUCAUAUCUCACGAUAUUCGAUUCACCCUGGAAGUACAAAAAUGUACCAGGAUCUCAGACAUCAUUUCUGGUGGUCAAAUAUAAAAAAGGAUGUUGCUGAGUGUGUGGCAAAAUGCUUAACGUGUCAGAAAGUUAAAGCUGAGCAUCAAAGGCCAAGCGGAUUGUUGAAACCGUUAGAGAUACCAGGAUGGAAAUGGGAGCAUAUCACAAUGAAUUUUGUGGUAGGUCUUCCAAUGACUCAGUAAGGUUACAAUGUAAUUUGGGUGAUUGUCGAUCGAUUUACAAAGUCGGCACACUUUUUGCCAAUAAAGAUUAGAUUUAACCUAGAUUGGUUGGCAAAACUGUACGUGAAGAAAAUUUUUUCAAGACACGAUGUCCCGGUGUUAAUUGUAACAGAUAGAGAUCCACGUUUCACAUCAAAUUUCUAGAAACGACAACAGGAAUGCUUGGGAACGCAGUUGAGAAUUAGCACAACAUAUCAUCCUCAAACCGACAGACAAAGUGAGAGGACAAUCCAGACAUUGGAGGAUAUGCUCAGAGCAUGUAUUAUGGAUUUUAAAGGGAAUUAAGAUGACCAUCUGCCAUUGGUUGAAUUUUCCUAUAAUAACAGUUAUCAUGCAAGUAUUGGCAUGUCUCCUUACGAAGCAUUGUACGACAGAAAAUGCAGAACUCCGUUAUAUUAGGACGAGGUUGGAGAACGUCAGCUACUAGGUCUAGAAUUAGUGCAACAAACUGUUGAGGUCAUCAAGGUGAUUUGAGCAAGAUUAAUAGCUGCAUAGGAUAGGCAGAAGAAGUAUGCUGAUCAACACUGACAAAAUCGGGAAUUUGAUGUUGGUAGUUUUGUUUUCUUGAAAGUGUCUCCCUGGAAAAGGAAAAUCCGAUUUGGUAAAAAGGGAAAACUAAGCCCUAGGUUUAUAGGACCUUUUGAAGUCCUACAACGAGUUGGUGAAGUGGCGUAUAAGGUAGCUCUACCUCCGAAAUUAGAACAUAUUCAUAAUAUUUUCUAUGUUUUGGUAUUAAGGCCAUAUAAGUCCGAUUAUAAAUAUGUUAUAGAAUAUGAACCAUUACAGUUUGAAAAAGAUUUGUCUUAUGAAGAAGUCCAUGUUCAGAUUAUUGACAGGAAAGAGCAAGUACUAAGGAAUAAAGUGAUACUUUCUGUUAAGGUAAUCUGAAGAAACCACAAUGCUAAUGAAGUUAUGUGGGAACUUGAAGAUGUUAUAAUGAAAAGUUAUCCUUAGUUAUUUGUUUAAUCUUUUAUAGCGAUUAUGGGGACAAAAUCCUAUUAAGGAGGAAAGAAUGUAACAAAUGUGUUUAUUGAGUCGUGAUUUUGGGGACAGAAACCUUUUAAGGAGGGAAUGAUGUAACGAACGAGAAUUUUAUAUAUGUAAUUUAAAAAUAUUUAUUGGACUAAAUAAAUAUUGUAAUUACUUUAUUUAUUGAGUUAAAUAAAUAAUUGAUGAAAUUAUUGUGCAAUAAGUUAGUUAAAAUGUGUCAUAGUAAUUAGAUUAAUUUUAUAAUUUAAAGAUUUAAUUUAAUUAGCUAAUUAAAUUAAAUGAAUUAAAUAAUUAUGGUGUAGUUCUAAUUUGAUUUAAUAAUUAAAUUUGAGAUUUAUUAUUUUGUUAAAUAAAAUUAUAAAUCAUUAUGGAAAUUCCAAUUAUAAGGUAAACGUUAAUUUAAAUUAUAAAUUUAAUUAAAUUAACUAAGUAAUGGUGUGACAAGGAGCUAUAUAAUAUAGGUAUUAUAAACAUAAAUUAGAAUGGGGAGUUUUGUGUGUAGCCAAACAUGGCCUUGUGGCCUUUGGCAUAUUGCAACUGACAUAGCCUUUGGGUUUUUGAACAUGAUAUGUAGUGUUAUAUUAGUUUUCUUCUUUGCGUAUUAUAUCUCCAAAGGCUAAGUAAGGAAACACAGAGGGAUUAGAGAAGAAUAGAGAGAAGAGAGAAUUCUCUAUAUUUUGUCAAGAGGAAUGAGAAGAAUUUUUGGGAAACCUUGUCACCAUCUAUUGCUAAUAUACAUCAGAGGAUCAAAGGUAUAAUUUGCUCCUAAUUUCUAAGUUUUUGGCUUUGUAAUUUGAUUCUUUGUAAUUAAGUUUUUUUAGAAUAGUUGUUAUGAAUGUUAUGGAUAAUGUAUUGUAAUACCCAAGACUUUCCGUAUAUUAUUAAAUAAAUAUGUUAAUGAAAAUAAAUAUUUAUUUGAUUAUGAACAAUUUCGUAUUAUGAAAUGAGAUAACUCAAUCAUAUUAAUAAAUGAAUAAUUGAGAAUACGUCGAGUUUGAGGUAAACUCAUUGAAAGCCUUGUGUGGCAUGGGGAUGGAAAUUCAAAUAGUAAUGAUAAGCGGCGAAGAAAUUAUGAGAUGAGCAAUUAAGUAAUAUUAAUUGUUAAGUGUUGUUGUAGUAUGUUUAUGGAUUUUUAAUUGAUAUUAAUAAGGUCGGUUAAUAUGUGAUUAUUAAUUAUUAUUUAAUUGAUAAUGGUUGUGGUGGAAUAUUGAUUUCUUGGCAAUUAUUAAUAAUAGGUGAUUAUUAUAUGGAUAAGUAAUGAUUAUGGAAAACCCAUAAAUGGGUGGAUUAAUUAAUAUUGAUGUUAAUUAAUUAAGGAAGUGCAUGGUUAAUUUAUUUAACAUAAGUGAGUAAGUUAGUAAUAUAAUAAUAUUAUAUUGAUAGUUAUGUGCAUGUGAAAUAUAAUACAAAAAUAACUAUAUGGUGCAGUGUGACAUUUAUGUGGCUAUAUAUAUUAAGUCUUAUAAAACUAUAUUGCUUGGACAUUGUAAUAAAACAUAUUGAAACUAUGUGUUAUAAAUAUAUUAUCUAUGUGCCAAUAUGUAUAUGGGCAUGUAUGGAAAUUAUAUACCAUGAACUAUUAAAGUAUACCAGUGUGAUAAAAUGUAUAUAGAUUAUAUGUUUAUUACAUUUCCAUAUUCUAUAUACUACAUUGAAACCUUAAUUAUUAAGUAUGAUAUUUAAUUAUAAUAUAUGGUUGAGAUGUGUAUUAAAAAAUAUAACAUAAGAGUGUGGAUGUGUAGGAGUAUACAAGAAUGCUAGUUAAUUUGUUUGUCCCAAAUUGAUAGUCCCAUUUUACUCUCAUUUCUCAUUCACGUGCAUUUCAUAAAGGCUAAGGCCUAUGUUUUUCAUAUUUUCUUCCAAGCUUUCUAGGCAUGAUCCUGCGGGGGAGUGGUACUCGUGAUGAAAUCCAACAACUAAUUACCAACUCCUUAUACAUCAUGCAAUCCCUCAACCCAUGAGUUUGAUUUCUUGGACUAUGGCUUGGCAUGGUCAAAGAAUUCUCUAUAAAUUGGACACUUCUCUUCAUUAUCUAUGUUGCUUGAAUUGUUUGAUAAAUUGUCAAGUGAGAGAUUGAGAGCAUACAAGUGUGCUAGAGCUUAGAAGUUCAUUUGGAGCAAGUCUUCAUCACCUUACAGAGGUAUAAACUCUUUUCCUUGUUACCAUUUUCAUUCUCUAUAAAAAUAUUAUUUUGGUCUUGAAAUUCAAAAUCUUGAAUUCAUGGAAUUGUAUGUUAAUGAGGCUGGGUAAUGUCCAUAUAUAUGUUAUAUGAUCACAUAAGCUUGUUGCAAUCGGUUUAUAAGUGUUUAAAACCAAUUUGGUUAAUAAAUUUUGGGGUUUGGCUAGUCAGUUACCGAAGCAGACUGUUCUGUGCCUGAACCAGGCACGGCGCAGCUGUGCCACAUUUGUAUUGAGGUGCAGCGCAUCUGCGCCGAUUGCUGAACUCAGUUGAGCAAUCUGUUUUUAAAUAUGGUCAUGAGUAGCUAGUUGUUUUGACUUAAGCUAACAUGUGAACAUGUGUAUGAUUUAUAUUUGGAUAUGUUGACCUAAUGUGAGCAUGUUUUCAUAGACUUGCAUGAUUAAUGGAGACAUAUGCUUUAAAUGGAGAUUUGAACCUUAAGUUUUGAAAACCAACUAUGUUAAAGAUCAUGUUCUACAAAUUGUGAACCCAGCGAGCUAUGCAUGACUGAUUUUGCACAUAGAUGAGCAUGUUGUAGUGUACAUAGUCCGUUGAGCAUGAUAAAACUUGUUAAGCCUUAUGUUAGGAAUAUUUUCAAGGAAAGACUUAGCCUAGUAUGCUAACUUGUAUGAUUUCUACAUGUGGUAUAUUCUGACUUUGCAAAGCAUGUUAAUGUGACUUAGACAUGCAUGAAUAAACCUUUAGCUUAUGCUUAAGUGAUUAGCAAAGAAGCAUGAACAUGUUGUAUACUUUACAAAUGAAAAUAUGACCUUUGAAUAGGAAUAUUAUCAUGUUACCUUGAGGACAAGAAUCUGACAUUUGUGAUCAUAUUUAAUGACUCUCUUAGACUAACUCAUGUAGUGUAACCAUGGAUAUACUAUGCCUUUAUGUUAUAUUUCAAGAAAAGCACGAACAAAGAAUAUUUUCAACUAAAGCGGUGAUUAGUUUCACGUAUGUGUUACGAAUACACACAAACAUGUAUAAUAUGAGUGUUGUAACUAACUUGUAUGAUUUAGAAAGCAAGCAUGCUAGACUUUGUGGUUUCAUGACCUUAAUUUGUUGAAUGAUCGAACUUAGAACCAUGAUAUGCAAGAAAGGGCCUAGAUUGAUCUAAGAAGCAUGUGAAAGCUUUUAACAUGUCAAAAUACAUUAAGUAUGAGUGUGCGUUCGAGAUCGGACAGAACCCACAAGGCAACAACUGAGUCUUGGCAGGGUCAGGGGACGGCGUAGCUGCGCCGGUCCUAAGCGUAGCCAUGACGCAGCUGCCCCAGUUUGGAAUCCCAGAAAAUGAAUUCUGAUCUUUUGGAUAGUAACUUACAUGAUACUUAUGAUGCUAAAUGUGAUCUAAAACCUACUGAUGUACAUAUAUAUGUGUGAUGCUUAGUUGAUAAGUCGGUGUUGCGUUGAAACAAAAAGUCCAUGAGUAGAGGAGGUCCUAACCUUAAGCAUUCUUGAUUUGUUUAUAAAAUGACUAAGUGUUUGGUUUAUGAUUACUUAUAAACUGAUUUUGGUACCAUAUGUGCAUACUUGUAUCGUGUCAAGCUUGAUUAAAGACUGUGUUAGCUAAUUAACAUCUUGAACAUAUAAUGCGUUAUAAAUAGGAUUUGAAAGUGUUGAUUUAUUAACGUGGAUAAACUACGCUUAAGGCAAGUUCCCUAAACUUACUCUAAUUAUUAUUGAACAAGUUUCCUUGAACCUUACUUUUAUUGAGCAAGUAUCCGAACCCUAUUAUUAUUCUGGUGCAAUAUCAUUGCAUUAUUUAUUCGGCCAAUACCGUAAGCUUAUCCUUUUGAAUACAAGUUAGAUUACUUUGUUAAACCCUUGUGAAAGCUAUUAUUCAUGUUGAAAUUGGUAUUGCCCUUGAAUAUUGUGAAAGAGUCGAUGCCAUUUGAUUCGGCUAGACUAUAUGCAUGUUUAUAAAAACUAUCCAAACCAAUUGAUUUGUGCGGAAAUAUUGAAAACUGAGUUAGACAACCCUUUUAGGAAGGGGAGUGUAUGUUGUUGGAAACCCCAACACAUGAAUAAAUAUUAUUGUGGUGUUAUGCAUAAUGUAAAGUAUUGUAGACUGAUCAUCUAUAGUACUUGAUAUUUUUGGUUAUCAGUUUUAUAUUGGUAACUCUAGUGGAAGUUCCAUAGUCCUUAGUGACUACUCAGUAUAAAUUGCUUAUCCAGUUGGAUACAUUGUUAGCCGUUGAAUUCAUAUAUAUCUGUUGAUUUAUAUUGAAUUGUUAUAUCCCUUAUUCAUGAUGUUAUUCUGACACUUUGAAUUAUUCGAGAAAUAACCCUUCGAUAUUUCAAAUCUUGUGAUAUUAUAUCCCGCACCCUUGUUGUAUAUUACUUGCUGGGCAAUUUGUGCUCGUCCUUGCUUAUUUAAAACCUUUCAAUUAAGGAAGAACAUGGAGGUGUCUCUAGAGCAGACAAGGGCAAGGGAAAGGCUACCGACUAACUUGUCCUUUUUAUGUUUAAAGCUAUUAUGUUAUGCUAAGACUAUUUGUGGACUAUGUUUAAACUUAAGUAGGAUUAUGUAAUAGGUCUUUAUUCGAUACUAUUAUGUAAUCUAUUAAGUACUGUAGGUUGCGAGACAUGGGGGAAUAAUUAUAAUAAAUCAUUGUAUAUUAUUCUAAAGUAGAUUUUCCGUUGUGUGUGCAUUAUUUUAGUUAUUAUGGUCUUACCAUGAGAACGUGAUGAACCGAAUUCGAGUUACCAAGUAGAGGUCCGAAUUUUGGGGAGUCAUAGGUUGGUAUCAAAGCAUUAGUUAUAAACCUUAGGAGCGAUUGUCCUUAAAUUAUAACUUAAGGGAAUUUAGAAGUUAGGAAGGAGAUAAAACUCAUGUAGAGUUUUGUUUGAGAGACUUAGUUUGUUAUGAAAUGUAACUUCAUUCUAUACAAUGAACUUAUGUUUAUUUAACAUUCUAAUGGAGUUGUUGUUUGUGUUGUUUUAUGUUGGUGAUUGUAGGAUGACUGACAUGGGAGGACCUAGCCGAGUAGUGGAGGAGGAGCCGCGUGAUAUCCACGUAGUAUUUGAGACACCCUUGAUAACAAAACCUAUUUCAGUAGUAGCCCCUUUUGAUGAUGACGAUGAGGAAGAGGUGGGGUCUGACCCCGAGGAGGAGCCUUUGGAGGAGGAGCCCGAGCCUGUGGAGGACUCCGACGAGGCUACCUUUGGGGAUCAGGUGUUAGGAGAGUAUGAGGAGAAGAUAUUGGAGUUGGGAUGUAGAGUAGAGGAGCUUGAGGCUAAGGCUAGGGAAAGGGAGUUUGCAUUCUAAAAGUUGAGGGAUGAGGAUCAUCUGAGGAAAUUAGUGAUGCAGGAGAUGGAAGUGGAGAUUGCUCACCGUAAGGAAGCAUGGAUCCAGAUGGGAGCUUUGUUUCACCGAGCGGUGGCAAGGAAUGUUGAGGUGGCAGGAAAGCUGAAAGAAUUAGAAUAGAAGGUGUUGAGUGAGAGGGCGGAGAAGGAGGCUCUCCGAACUCAGUUAGAAAUGCAGGUGAUGGAUAGGAUACACUUUCAGGAGAAGUGGAAAGAAGCUAAUGAUAGGGCAGAUGACCUAGAGGAUGAGGUGCGGUGUGACGCCCCAAAAUCCGGGUAUCUUCUAACCCGACAGAUGGUGCUACACGGUACUCAUAACUGUACAUUCAUUCUAUUGUAACAACAUCAAAAUGUGUGUAUCAACGAUAUUCUUAUUACAUUAAUAAUAUUACAUACCGAUCCCAGGUUCUAAAACCAUUACAUUCUUUGUUCAUCAUACUAUGAUAUACGUAACUUAAUAGUUUAUUACAAGGUAAACUAAUGGUUCAUCUUCGUCUUGCCUUUUAUCCUUGUCGGAUCCCUCAGUUCAUUUGGUCCUAGCUGUAUUCAUAUGGUUCAAGCAAGAGUGAGCAUAACAAGCUCAGAAAGUACAAUAAUUUCUUUUAAACAACAUACUUGAAACACAGGAAUCGUAUAUCUUCAAUAACUGAACAAUAGUUAUGAAGUACUAUCGAUAAUUCAAAAUAACACUUCUUUUCCUUCAAAAUGUUUUACAAUAACAAUAUUCAGUAAAACAUCAAUUCUGGCUCAAGACCAUGAGCGUCUCAUAAUUUCUUUGAAAAGGACAACCCGACACUAAGUCCGUAAGUCCGGAAUAUCUUACGAGCACUUUUGGGUGAUCAGCCCAUAGUACUCUAUAUUGAUCAACACUACAUCCUGUUAAAUGUAUGUACGUUUAAGUUUUGGCAACCUCGCGUGCCCAUCGAAUAAUCGAUGAAAAAUAUAUUUGUUUAUUCAUACUCAGGCUUACCUUGAAUCCGUACCAAACAAUUGGCGUAGGAUAGCAUUAACAAUUCUAUAUUGAAAGACUUGUAAAUAAAUAAAUCAACUCUUCAAGAUUAGUCUAGCCGAGAUAAAACUGGCAUCGACCCUUUAGUAAAACAUUUCAUGCAUCUCAUAACAUGAAUCACAGAAAACUUGGCUAACACGAAGGUUAGACAAGCGUUGAAGAAAAACUUGCCUUCAACGUCUGCUACAGUAUAAUAACUUUUCCUUUCAGUCUUUACGGUCUCUACAACACAUAACCACAUAACAUACCACAUUAGGUCAUGAAUGAACAUACAUGGUUCCUAAUGAAUCUUACCCUUCUUCUCAAUCUAAUCCUGUAUUAGAUUUGUUAUUUAUUGGUUCCGGCUUAUCGUUAUAACUUACAUCAUUCUUACCAACUUCUUUCUCUUCUAUGUCUUACUUGCAUUUACUUUAUUAAUACAACUCAUUUAUAGUUAAUCAUCCUUCUUCACGGCUUACUAACGUUAUCACGUUUAUUAAUCGAAACUCGAUCGUUAAGUACAUGUAUUGCAUACGGUUCACGUUCACAUUCAAUUGACUUAUCUCCAACCUUUAGUAUUAUACUUAAGGUUUAUAACAUCUUUUAAUGAUGUUAAAUUAGGUUUAGCAUUGAUAUGAUUCCUUAUCAUUAACUGGUUUCUCCUUUAUAUUCAAAACCUUUCCUCUCUGGGCUUUCCCUAAUGUUGGUACUGCGGCGCCGACAUUCCUUCUUUGUGUCACGCCGCGGCGUGACUUAGCAGUGUGUAUGGUCCGGACUCGGCGCUGUGGCGCGAGUCUCCUUUGCUAUGGCCGCCCUAUGGCACCAGUUAGCAGUGUACCCUGUCUCGGCCUCGCGCUGCGGUGCGGGCCUUUGUGCCUGGAGUCGCACUGCAGCGCGGACUCUGUGCCUCAGAAAAUUUUGACAAUUUUUCAACUUUGCCAAAUUUCCGGACGCAUAACUUCUUCGUUAUAAGUCCGAAUUGGCUCGUUCAAAAGCCUACUGUUCACAAAUUAUAUACUCUACGCAUUCAUGCAAGAAUUUUAUCUAUUUGACUUUGUUUUCUAAAAAUUCACCUAUUAGUCCAUUUUUAACGAAAACGGUAAACCUUUGUGAACGUUCAAUGCUCGUUUCUUCGUUCUAAGUCGAAAUCCAGUCAUUUUUGAGUCCACAACUCUAUAAUGCCAAAUAAGACUUGUCUCCAUUGAAAACCAAUGUUUCCAAGCCCAAUAUCAAAAUUUGACUUCCAUUCCGAGAUUUUCACGAAUUCGACGAUUAUCGUCCAAACUCGUGAAUUUUGCCUUAACUUCAUUUCUUAUGAUUUGUUCAUCGUUUCAAAUGGAUUCAAUCCAUCAUACUAACAUCUUGACAUAAAUACUUCAUUAACUUAUAAACAUGUUAAGUUAUUACUUGUUCUUUGUAAGUUUAUAACUUAUAAAAGUAUAAACUACUUAUGACUUCCUUUCUCAUGAUUUAUUAUAGAUUAAGUCUUUUAACCACCAUUCCUGCUUCUUAUUAUCAUACAAUCUUAUUAAAGUACACAUAUGAGUAGUUCAUAUAAGCUCUUCAUAAAUUCAUAACUUAAUUAAAUUCGAAUGACUUAUUCAUGACAUAUACGACUUAGGUCCAUUGAUUAAUCAUUCUUAUCAUUUCUUAGCAUACAUGUUCUACCACUACCCACUUCUCUAACAAUGGAAGAGAAAGAGAUUCAUGGUUUAAGUUCUUACCCUUAAUAAUCACUUGGUUAAUCUUUGAUCUCCUUCUUGCUUCUUGAAAUAUGAAAAACUAACUUCCUAGCUUUUCUAGCUUAUUUCUCUAACAAAUAAGCUCUCAACUUGUUGGAUGAAAUGAACAACCAACAAAAAUAAAAUCCAAGCUUGCUAUUUAUAGGAAAGUCAAAGUUAGGGUAUAAUGGUCAUAAAGCCACUCCACCUCCUUAAUCACCUCCUUACUAUUCCUUUACUUAAUUAUUAAAUUAACUUGCUCACCAAAUAUACUUGGCCACCACACUUACUUAUCCUUUAAGUUAACUUGUUAAUCACAUAGCUUAUCCUUUGCUUGUUCAUCACAUAAAAGCACUUUGUUUGCUCAUCACUCAUAAGCACUUUACUUAGCCUUUAAGUUACUUAACUUAUCCUUUGCAUAACCCUUAAGUCUACUUGCUCAUCACACAAAGUUAUUGAUCACCAAUUCACCCAUAUGAUCAUGGGUUGCCCCAUGGAUCCUCUUAAUCCAUUGGAUUCUUACUUUGGGCUUAAGGUUUAAUUAAUCCUAACUUAUACAUUGGGCUUGCAUUAACAAUUCUUUGGGCUUUAUCAUUAGCUUGCAUUGGGCUUAUACAUCUCUACACUUGGGCCUUAUCAAUAUCUCAUUGGACUUUACAAUUUCUUACUCAAUCCUACAGGUCCAUUACAUUUGGCUUAAAGCCUUAUAACGUAUAAUUUAUGUAUUAAUCUCAUAUUUUAACUCGUAUACUUAUUUAAUAUACAACAUUCCAUCAUUCAUACAUGCUCGUAUAAUACCUCGUAUUAUACUCGUAUCCAUUACCUCGUACAAUACUUACGUAUUAUACAAUCAUUGCUUUAAUUCAUUAUACGCAUUUAAAUUCCUUCUCGGAAUUCAUUUUCCCUAACCGUUAGGUUUUAAGUCCGCGGGCAAAAAACUGCAUUUGCCAUAACUGAAAUAUUAUUGGAUAUUCUAUCUCACCUUGAUAUUCUAUCAUUACAUAUUUCUUAGAAGUUCAAAAAUAAUUCCCGAACUGAAAUGUGUGAAUAGUAUUUUUCAGAAAAUUUCUCGAAAAGUUUUUAUUUUUGUCUUGGAAAUUCAAACACUUUUAUUCUAUCACGUAGCAAAAAUACUAUGACGUUCUGAUAUAUCUAGGUCAUAGAAUGACCUUCAAUUAGCUUACUCCCAUAAAUAAUUAAUUAUAUUCAUUUAAUACACAUAAUCAAAAUAAAAAUUUAAUUCUCAAAAAUCCAAAUUUUCUGGGGCGUUACAUGCGGUGCAAGAGGAGGAAGAUGAACAAGAUGGGCUAUGCUCUUCGCACGGCCAUGGAGAGAUUGAUAGAUGGGGUACAACAUUACCCAGCUGAGCAAAGACAGACUUGACAUACCAUAAGCCGAGACAUGGUGGUGUACAUCACACAGAAGGAAUAUCAGAGCGCCGUUGAGCGUGGGAUGUUAGAUUGAGUAUAGAGGAUGAAGACCAGUAGUGUAGUAGUUUUAUUUAUGUGUUAUUAAUAUGUUAUGUAAUCUCAGUCUUUUGUGUAAGAUGUGAGAUAGUGGUAAACCUCCAAAUUUUCGAAAAAGUAUUAGAGGGGUAGUAAGAUAGUAUGUCCCUGUCUUUUGUGAUAUUAAGGGAUAUGUGUUAUCGUUUAUAGCAGUAUGCUAGAAAAGAACAUGUAAUGUAACCCUUUGGCAUAUGAAUAUAAAUGAUCUUAAUUCAGAAAUGUGUUAUAAAAUUGUAGUUUGUUCAAUUGAAAAAUGUCUAGGUAUUAUAACUAGAUAAUAAAAUGAAAAUUUUGUGAUGCAGAAAAUGCCGCUUAGACGAAGAAUAACUGUCCUAGAAGAUUCAGUUAAUGAUGAGAGAGGUCCUGUAGAUCCGAUACAAAGACUGGUAGAUUUAUUGGGAGAAGCUCUGAGGGGAAGAAACGAAUCCGUACCACCCGUUCCCCAAGCUGUCCUAGUAACGACCUUUAAAGAUUUUAAGAGUGCAGGACCCCCAGAGUUUGCGGGAACCACUGACCCGAUAGUUGCGCAAACAUGGAUCAAGGAGAUCGAGAAGGCCUUCACUAUAGCUCGAGUGGGUGAAGACCAGAAGACAGUAUUUGCCACAUACAUGAUGCGUGGCGAAGCAAACUAUUGGUGGGAAACCAAUUAGCAGAGAGCGGGGGAAGGUACAAUAACGUGGGAGAGGUUUACUACGUUGUUUUUCGAAAACUAUUUUCCAAAGAGUAUGAAGAGUAGGAUGGAAGUAAAAUUCCUAGAAUUAAAACAAGGUGAUAUGACGGUGGCGCAGUACGCAGCUAAGUUCAAUGAACUAGCGCGGUUUGCAGAAUACCAAGUUGUGGAUGAGGAGAGGAAGGCGAGACAUUUUCAACAAGGGUUAAAACCGUGGUUGUACAAUAUGGUAUCGGUCUUCCAGAUUGAUUCUUUUAUGACAUUGUUGGAGAAGGCAAUCAUUGCGGAAGGUGGCAAUGAGGCCUUAAGUCUGUAUCAUAAGGAGAAGAAGAAUAAGAACGCUGGUAGUGAGCAUCGUGGAGGAAGCAACAGUGGAGGGAGUAACUCCGGAAAGAGGAAAUGGGAAAACAACAACAACAGAAGUAACAAUCCAGGUGGGAAUCACCAAGGAAACUUCAAGAAGAGGACAGAAGCUUGUAACAAAUGUGGAAGAAGUCAUCUGGAGAAUGAUGGAAGAGGAAGAACACCUGCUAUAACUGCGGCCAAGAGGGGCACAUAUCACCAAACUGCCCGAAGUCGAAGAAAAUCAGAGGAUGUUUUCCUUGUGGAUCAACAGAGCACUAGAUAAAGGAAUUCCCGAAGAAAGGAAGCGAUGGAGCUGGCGGAAACCAAGGAGGAGGAAGUAAGUUGAUGAUUGGUGGACCUGCGCAACCCAACCGAUCGACCGCUCAAACCUUUAACAUGACAGUCCAAGAUGCCGUAGUUGCGAAGGACGUGGUGUCAGGUAUAAUCCCAAUCAAUAAUAUAAAUGCUUAUGUAUUAUUUUAUUUGGGUGCCACCUGUUCGUUUGUAUCUGAAGAAUUUGCUAAUAAACUUAGUACACCCCGAGAACGUUUAGAAGAUCCUUUGAACAUAGAAGUUGCGAAUAAGGAAAUAAUCCCUGUAGAAUACGUUUAUCAAAAUUAUCGCACAAACAUUAAAGGACAUGAUUUGAACGUAGACUUGAUUCCUAUUAGACUAGGAGAAUUUGACGUGAUAUUGGGGAUGGAUUGGUUAUAUAACCAUGCAGUAAUAAUUGACUGUCAGAACAAAUGUGUGAACCUUCAGACUCCAGGUAAGUCUAAGGUAGUGUUUUAUGGUAGCUCAUCGCUUAAGCAAUCGUGUUGCGUUACGAUGAUGCAGGCUAAGAAAUUGUCAAAGAAAUGAUGUUUAGGUUAUUUAGCUUACGUUGUAGAUACUCAAAAAAAGGGAGUAAAGCUUAAUAAUUUACCCGUAGUGAGUGAAUUUCAGGAUGUGUUUUCGGACGAUCUGUCUGGCCUCCCGCCAGACAGAGAAAUCAAUUUCGUAAUAGAUUUAGCACCAGUAACAACACCAAUUUUGAAAUUUCCAUAUCGGAUGGCUCCAGUAGAAAUGAAGGAAUUGAUGAUACAACUUCAAGAGUUAUUGGAUAAAGGUUACAUUCGACCGAGUGUGUCUCCUUGGGGAGCACCAGUGUUAUUCAUGAAGAAAAAGGACAGAUCGAUGAGGCUCUAUUUCGAUUAUCGCAAAUUGAACAGAGUAACAAUCAAGAAUAGAUAUCCACUACCGAGGAUAGAUGACUUAUUUGAUCAACUGAAAGGAGUGAAAUGUUUCUCGAAGAUCGACCUGCGGACGGGAUAUCACCAACUGAAAGUGUGGGAUGAGGACAUACCAAAGACUGCGUUUAGAACCCGUUAUGGACAUUACGAGUUUUUGGUAAUGUCAUUCAGUUUAACUAAUGCUCUGGUAGCAUUCAUGGACUUGAUGAAUCAAGUUUUCAAGCCAUACUUGGAUAAAUUCGUGGUAGUUUUUAUUGACGAUAUUUUGAUCUACUCGAAGACGGAGGAAGAACACGUCGAACACCUGAAGAUUGUUUUGGAGGCACUAUGAAAGGAGAAGAUGUAUGCGAAGUUUUCUAAGUGCGAAUUUUGGAUGAAGAAGGUUCAAUUCUUAGGCCACGUGGUGGAUAAGAAUGGAAUCUCAGUAGACCCCAAAAAGGUCAAAGCAGUGAGUAAUUAGGAACAACCAAGGACACCGACGAAGGUGAGAAGUUUCUUAGGGUUAGCUGGGUACUAUCGAAGAUUCAUCGAAGAUUUUUCUAAGAUAGCAACCCCGUUGACUAAUUUGAUGAGGAAGACGGUGAAAUUUGUAUGGACUGACAAAUAUGAAGAGAGUUUUCAAGAGUUGAAGAAGAGAUUGAGUGAGGCGCCUGUAUUAUCAUUACCAGAUGAUACGGGAAAGAUUUGUGGUGUACAGUGAUGCGUCACAUAGAGGACUUGGUUGUAUGCUUAUGCAACAUGGCAAGGUUAUUGCGUAUGCAUCACGACAAUUAAAGGAUUACGAAAAAUGAUACCCUACUCAUGACCUAGAGUUAGCGGCCGUAGUUUUUGCGUUAAAGAUAUGGAGACAUUAUUUGUACGGAGAAAAAUGUGAUUACACAGACCACAAAAGUCUGAAAUAUAUCUUCACACAGAAGGAGUUGAACAUGCAUCAGGGGAGGUGGUUAGAAUUAAUCAAAGAUUUUGACUGUGAAAUUCUUUAUCUCCCGGGGAAGGCAAACGUAGUUGCCAACGCUCUGAGCAGGAAAGGAAGGGAGAAAUUGUUUCGACUGACAACUCAGGAGGAGUUAAUAAGAGAUAUGGAGAAAUUGAAAAUAGAAGUGAGGGGACCCGAGAGGUCUGCAUAAAAGUUAUUUGUAAUAGAAGCUUGUCCAGGAGAAGCCCAAGAGAAAGAUGGAGAGUGUUAGAAAAUUAGAAGAAGGAUCAUGGAAAAAGAGGAAGAAAAAUUUCGAAUAGAUAAAGAUGGUAUCUUAAGAUUCGAAGGGAGAGUAUGGGUGUGGCAGCCCCGAAUCCAGGCCCCAAAUCGCCGCGGAUUCGGUUUGCUAAUCUUUCUAUAACUUUUUGCGGAAGAUAUAAACAUAAAUUGUUUAUACAUUACAUUACACACUAUUCCCCAAGGUCGAGUAAUCUAUACUUAAACACAAAUCAUAAGCUAUCUAACACAUAACAAUACUAUUCUUCAACCAUACUUUUACAAAUUAGCUGUACAUUCUAUCCCAAGCUGAACUUGGCAUUUUCCUUUUCCUGUAACUGGCCGUAUUCGCCUUAUCUGCAAUGUUUUAUCAUGAUAUAGCAAGGGUGAGCAUGAAAGUUGCCCAGCAAGUUUAAAAACAAUGCAAAGAUAUAUCAUGAUGGAAAGAGUUUGAAUAAUAAGCUGACUAUCCUUCACAAUGUAUUUGUGAAUUAGCAUGAACAAAGUUUUGACUGAACAAGUAUUUAACAGGAAUAACAAUAUAUCUGGACCAACUGGUAAUGAAGGUGAUCAGCCUUUCAUACCCGACUUAUACAUACAAGAUGUACAGAGUACAAUUCAUAAGCAUAUCUGUCUGAAACCACUCUUAAAAGAGUUUAAGUAAAAAGAACUUGAAAAACUUGCCUGAACCGUUGAUUACCGUAACGCAAUAUAAUACGCUUCUCCUGAAGACCUAAUAUUAAUAAUAUAGAUCUCCAAUAUUAGAAUAAUAUCAUCAUUGUUAUAAAAUAACUUAAACAUAUUUCCACAUACUCCUAUCAGUCUAUACAGCAUAUAAAACCUAUAAUAGAUCUUUCGGUUAGUCAUAACAUAUAGUUAAG